UCUCCACCUGAUGCAAUUAUAUUUGAAAGGGUUGGACACUAAAUAUGCAUAUCUCUUCAUGUUGAAAUGCAAAAGGCAAUUGAAUUUAGGCCUACACCUUUGCAUGUUGAAGUGUUAUAUUUUUUUUUCUUCCAGGAUAUAAUGAUUUAGUUAAAGAGCAGUGACAAACUUUUCAUGUUGUUUAUUGGGGUGAGAAAUCAAAAUUGAUUAAAGGGAGCUUGAACGAGUGGCACUCGAAAAUUGCUAGUUGUUUAAAUUAGGCUAAGGAUCGUUUGCUUCGUUUGUUUAAAUUAGUGGUUUUGAUGCUUAUGAGUUGGAGGAAUAUCGUUUUGUUUCAUCUCAAGUUUUUUUUUUUUUUUUUUUGUCUAGAAUAAUGUGUAGCAUGUAGUGGCAAAAGACAAGGAUGUUAGUUUAAGGAAGGUGAUGCUAAUUCCAUUUUUUUUCAUGGGGCGAUGGCCAGCUGGAAGAGAAUUAAUUUCCUAAACUGUAUCAAUGUUAGUGGGAUCAGGAUUUGCUGCUGUAGCAAAUUCACACAGUUUGCCGCAGUAGCAAAUCUCAGCCAUCAAUCCAUGAUCUGACGGUUCCAAUUUACAGCACAAAUUUCAACAAUUUCAUACAAUGUCAAAUCUUAACCGUUCACUUCAGAUCAGACGGUAUAGAACAGCUACGGCGUGCAACUGCGUGUAAAUAUUACAGCAGGAAAUCCCAUCCCGUAGUGGUACUUUGGUGGUAGGUGUGUAUGAUGAUGUCUAUCUGAAAAAAAUCACAUAAUUUCGUGAGGCCUAUGGUGGAGUUUUUUUUUCUUUUCUUUUCGCAAUUUGUUGAUUAUACCUUAAUCUUUGGUGAGAAUUUUGAACAAACGUUAGAACUAGGCGUUUAUGAUCCCUUUUAGAUCUCAUCUUAGAGUUAAAGGUUGAUUUUCAUAAGAGUUUACUGAUUGGAAUUAAUGCAGCUGAGGAUUGGUUGAUAGAGGCUUUUGUUGUGUUAAAUUGUUAAAUUUGGGCAUAGUAAAAUAGUUCAAUUCAUCAUGGUUUAUUUAUAAAUCAAAUACUGAUAAUUUUUUUUAGGGGAACAAAUAUUGAUCAAUUAAUUGACCAUAUAUGUUGAAUUUAAAUAUGCAAAAGAUCCUUGCAAUUAUGGCCCCUUUGUUUUUUAUUUUUUAUAUUUUUUUUUAUCAAAGGGUCACUUUGUUUUAUUCCCAAUAAAAAGUUUUUUUUUUUCAACUUGACUAUGCAAUUCCAAAAAACACCUAUUAAGUUGGUCUCUCGAUUAAUUUUUGUUUGAAAAUAUUUGAUGUGGCUAAUUUUUUGUGAUUUGGCAGGCCACAUAAUUUUUCGAGUCAACAUUUUAAUUUUUUUUGCCUAAAUGUUCUUUUUGUUUUCCUAUUUAAAAAAAAAAAAUCCUAGUCCUACUAUUUUAAAAACCGGGUUUUUUGUCAGCCAAUUUCACUUUUUUCUCCAAAAUUCCAUCUUUCAUCUUUUUUUUUUUUUUUGGUACAAACCAUCUUUCAUCUUAUUCUUGGAUAUUUUUACAGAUAGUUUUUGGACAUUGUUUAUUAGACAUUUUUUGGGCACAUGAAUAUUAAUGUGACCAUAUAAGCUCGACCGCGUCAAUAAGGAAUAAAUAACAUCAACAAAAAUGACCUUAAAAUGAGAUAGGGUGGAAAAUUCAGAAAAAUAUAAAAUUGGAGACACAAAAAAAUCAUUUUUUAAAUUGGGAACCAAACCUCCAUUUAAAAAAAAAAUAGAGGAACCAAAAAGUAAAACAGAUGAAAUGAAUCAAAUUAUAUAUUAUUAGACAAUAUUUGUAUUUUGUAGGGUGUCGUAUAUAUUUCCUUGGCAAAAAAAAUGAAAAACAAAUUAUUUAUAUAUGCAUUUGCUACUACAAUUGGAAAUAAACCAGCUCCUUAUUGAAACCUUAAAUUUAUAACUUGGAGCAUAUAUUCAAGUUCAAUUCCAUGACACUUUCUAUCCAAUUAUCGGAACCUGAUAGACAAUUCCAUCUUUAUCAACCCAAACCCUAACCCUGUCACAGCGGAAGUCGGCGGUGACAAAAGAUCCUUCUGGCACAAUGAUGGCAUUCACCAAUGGAUUCUCACUCUGAAUUGUAGCUUCUGCUACCUUUCCUUCCACUCCAACCAACUCUGGCCAUGAGUUCUUACCUGAGAACACAAUAUUGAUUAAUUCAACCAUCAAAUUAUAAUUAAUAUUUCACAAACCGUUUAAUUUAAACAUAUUAUAUUAGGCUUAUAACACCUUACCUUUGCAUUCAUCAGACAUUUUUUUCUGUGCCUUUUUCUUUCCUUUUGCAAUUCUUGUAUUUGUGAUAUAUAAUGCAUUGCAAUGAAUACUGUAUUUAUAGUAGUUUUUGGUAGCAACCUUAUGCGUAUUUUUAUUACAGAAAUCUCAUAAAUUGUUGAACGGUCCAUGAUUUGACUUGUGUGUUAUAUUGUCCAAAUUUGUAGGGAUAAGAUUUUGUCAAAUUUUACGAUAUCACGCAAUAGUGUUCUUAUUUCAGAAGCAUACAUGUUAAUUUUUUUAGUUAACAAAAUGGUUAUAGAAUUGGCCUUGACAAUUUGUUCAUAAGGUGUUUGUGCAGGUUUUUUGGAUUUAAUAUGUGUUCACAAAUACGUCGAUAAAGAUAAGGAUUGAUUAUAAAUAUAUACAGGAAAAGAUAAGAAUUCGAUUGAACUUGAAGCAUAUUAUAUUACGAGAACAUAAGUAAACAAGUUGAAAACAAAUAUUUUGCAUGACUGUUCAAAGGAAUUAUGUUAUUAUCAUUAUCUACACGGAACUUGGUUUUGAUGUUCAAAGCGUUGAGAGUUGAGACACAAAUGACAUAUACAAACUAGAAAAUUGCUCUUCUCUUAUCCAAAAUUGUUCACUCUCAUACCAAUUGACGAAAAUACUCCACAUAGACGUUAUACGAGCGUGAUUAAGUCACGUUCUCAAUUUAAUGUGAGUUAACUCAUAUAAGUUGUAGUAGCGGUGAAGGAUUUAGUAUGAGAAUUUUAAGAAUCGAAUAUUACAUGUUUCAAUUUGGAACUUGAUGAUGUACUUUGCAAUAUUUUGGGAGGAAAAUACUAUUCAUAGCGAAUAGUUUGUCCCAAAUUUGUCCCGAGAGAAGCUGAUAUGUCUUGGUUUGACCGUGUAUUCCGCAAAGCAACAACUUUGAUUGGCCAAAUUGAUUUUCGGGAGCUUUCUUGAGAAUUAUUUCGCAUGAUAUAGCAAUACUCAUUUUGGGAUUAUUAUUAUUAUGAAAACCCUAGUGUUGAUUAUGUUGGUUUUCUGUGUUGAUUUAAUGUGGAAGCCUUACUUAUAUUAUGUUAAACUUGAUGAUGCAAAUGGAGGUAAUCGUGAUAUAUAUAUGGUACAGUGGAAGUAUUUUGUUAUGACUUGAUUUCAUCGCAGUAUUAUAUUACAAGCGUAGUUAUCCGGCGCUACCCGAGUUACAUUUUAUUUAAUAAAAAUAAAUGAUAUUCAUUCAUUCAAUUUGAUAAAGUACAUCGAUAUAAUGCAAAUUCGCUAAAAAAAGAUGAUGAAUCUGCGAACAAACUCACAUCAUCUAUAUUAAUAGCAUAAAACGGCAAAAUACAAAAUCCUGCACAUAUGAGUUACAUAUAUAGUAUAAUAUUAUUAUUUAGGUUAUGUAUAAUAUUUAUUUAAAAUUCAUAUAUCUCAUCUCAUCUCAUCUCAUAAAUAAAUAAUGAAAGAAAAAAUUACUCAUCAUAAUAACCCACAAUCGAUUAAAUGAUUUAUUAACAUCUAUCUAAAAUAUAAAAUAAACAAGGUCCUAGUUGUAAAAAUUGAAAUGAUAAUCAUGAGUACGUGUUUAGAAUGAAUAUAUAUAACAGACACAUGUAAGAAAACAAAUUUGUAUAUAUAAAAUUGAUUAAAUAAAUAAUUUAAUUUUAACUAAAUAAUUAUUUAAAUUUUUCUCUAUCAAUAUAUUAUUUAAAAAAUAAAUUAUCUAUUAAAAAAAAUUGGUUGCAAAAAGUUUAGGUAACCUCUGGAUGCUCACUAGGGUCAUGGCAAACCUCAAGUUUAAAGAGCACUAGAUAGCUACUUACGGAUCAUCUAGUAAAAAUGUCAUCACAUCGACAACAAUAAUUGAACUCACAAUCUUACGUGUCACUCAUCUCUAUACCAAAUGAGUCAACACCAACAAUAUUGUGCGUGAUUCAACUUCUUAUCAAUUGAGUCAACUUAAAAUUAUCUAUUAAAUUUGAUAAAAUAUGUGCUGAGUUUAAUAAAUUUAAUGAAUGAUAAAACUGAAAAACAAAUAAGUAAUUAUAAUUAAAAUGUAGGAUUAUAUUUAAAAAGAAAAAAAAUGUAUAUAAACUAAGUUUUAAUAAUAAUAAUUCCCUAAAAAAAAAAUAGAUUUGUUACCCAAUAACACUUGAAUGAGAUGAUGAGAGAUCUCUUUAAGUUUAACCAAACGACAAAGGUUAUUGGGUUCGAUUCCAGCCCUAUGAAUGCACCAAUUAAAUCUCUUGAGAGAUUUUCCAACCAUUGUGGUCCUACCCGUUUUGAGUGAUUAGUCCCUGCAAUUGUAUGCAGAAGAUAUCUGGUUUAUAUAAAAAAAAAAAAAAAAAAAAAACCUUUAAAAAAAGUGGUGAUAGCGACAAUUAUUAAGGAUGACAAAAAAAGUAUAUGCAUUAUAUGCAUGGAUAAAAUCCACCAUGAGCAUAAAUUGGAUAGAUAAACUGCUAAAAGAUACAUGUUGUGUACAAGUAUGAGUUAUAUGUCCCACAUCGGAUAAAAGGGUAAAUGUUGAACACAUUAUAAAUAAGAGGACCAUAAACCCAUAAAAUUAUCCAAAACCUAGAAGUAAAUCAUACAUCACCAAUUUUCAAUAUUACUGUUCAGGUGAAGACUUGUUUUUCAAUUUUGAAAAUUUUCUCUAGUUUUUCAAAAUAUGUUCUUGCAGGAUCAGCGGAUUUGACAAUACUGGUAUUUCUGAUCAAUUUCACUAUUAUUUUGUUCAUUGUUGAAAGAAUAUUAGUUUUAGAGUUUUGUUAGACUUCUAAUAUAUCAUGCAUUGAAUAAUUGAAGAAUUGUAUACCUAAAGGAUGAUAUAUAUAACAUGACAGAAUAAUAUCUUCCAUAGAGUAUUGUCAUCAUAUACAAAGCUCAUAAAUCAUAAGCCACCAAAGACAAUUGAAGAAGCAAUUUUCCAGAAGUAGAUAGCAAUCAUCAUCUUUACGAUUGAUAUGAGUUGAACUUUGAGACAUAUGAUAUGUAUAUAUAUUUUCUACUGAUACAAACAAGACCUAUUGCCCCACAGCUAGUUUGUGUCGAGUUCUAUUAUGACGCCCUAGGCCGGUACUUGAAAAUUGUCCAAAGCCAGUUGAAGCUGUGAACAGAAGAACAACGUCAACUGACAAAUAAUAUUUACCUAGGUAGUGAAUUUUUUUUGGACACAAUAAGUAGCACAAAAGUUUUCCAAUUUACUAAACUUUAUAUACUUUACAACUUUAUUUAACACAAUUAUUUCAAGAAUCUGAUGCAGUUCCCUUCGUUAACUUGUUUAAGAAAAAAAGAAAAAAAAAUGAUGGUUCAAUGGCUAGGCUCACCAGGCCAUAUGGGCUGAGAAUACUGCAGCCUGUGAUCCCUCCACUGUCAAGAGAAGGAAGUGUUCACUGCUCUGUGAAACCAGCCUCAUGCGGAUCCCUCCGUUCUAGUGACCAGGAGAUCUGAGCCUUCGCCCAAAUCCCAUGGCCCAACUCUCAACUUGGAGUGGGCAGGCCAGCAUAAUGUACCCUACAGCCCAACCUGUUAAGACACAAUCAUGUUCCAUCACCUUGUUGCUCCCACAUGGGUUACAAGUUGGUGUAAAUCAACUCAGCGAACAAUUGGCUGUGUUGGAAGUUUAUAAACCAUUGCAUAUUCUAUGUUUUAAACGAUGUGGGACAUUUUAUUGCUCAGAUAUAUUAUGGUCUUGAGUUGGAAACAUUCAUGUCACUUGUCACAUCGUAUGCAUGCUUAGUUUAGUUCAUAUUUAUCCACUCUUUUCAUAAAGCAUAACUAUACAAUAAUUUAUCAUGUCUAUAGUGGCAUAUAUAUAAUUGUUCAGCUUCACCACAGAAAUUAACCUUGCCUCAAACUAGUUUGUGUGGACAAGUCUCUUUAGUGGCUUUGCUGGCUUAUGAUUCUCAUACUAUAUUUUAUCCUUAGUUCAAAGUGGAGUUGAUAAUGACUGAAAAUUAUUAUCAUUAUUAUAUGUGCAUGUUUGUUAGAAAACAAACAAACAAGCAUUGACACCAUUUUAGUUUUAAAAUUAGGACUAAACUUGCAUACAUCUUUUAAAAAAUGAUAGAGGCAGUAGAGAACAGUAGGAACAGUGCCUAUAGCACUAUACCAAAGUUUUAUCCUUCAACCUAAAUAUGAUUUUGAUAUAUUGAUAUUUGUCAUUUUCCUUAAAUAGCUAGGAAUGACAAGUGCAGUGCAAACUGUGUGUGGACAAGCUUAUGGAGCCAAAAAACAUGCAGCAAUGUGCAUCACAUUGCAGAGAGAAAUCAUCUUACAUUUUGGUGCAGCAGUGACUCUCACAUUUCUCUAUUGGUUCUCUGGAGAUUUUCUAAAAGCCAUGGGGCAGACAGAGAGCAUUGCUGCACAAGGUCAAAUGUUCGCUCGCGGACUUAUUCCUCAACUCUAUGCAUUUGCAUUCAGCUGUCCAAUUCAGAGGUCUUCGCAGGCGCAGAAUAUUGUUAAUCAUCAGACAUAUAUGGCAGUUGGAGUAUUCCUUCUUCAUAUGCUUUUUAGCUGGCUAGUCGUCUAUGUUUUAGGCUAUAGCCUUCUCGGGGCAGCCCUCACUCUCAGCUUUUCUUGGUGGAUUCUUGUCUUUUUUAAUGGAUUGUACAUCCUUUUUAGCCCAACAUGCAAGGAAACUUGGAUUGGUUUCACUGUGAAAGCCUUCAUAGGAAUUUGGCCUUACUUGAAGCUCACAGUUGCUUCUGCUGCGAUGUUAUGGUAUGACUACAUCCUCAUUUUCAUUCCAGUUGUGUUAUUUGAACAUUAAAAUACAGGUAUUGUAUUUGACACUGUGUGUGUUUAUUUCAAUGUCUUACUUUUUCAAAAUAUGCACAAAAGUCAAAUGACUUUGUAUUCAACGUCAACAAAUUGUCAGAAAAACAUCUCUCUCUUCACUCUGUGAUAUAUAUGCAUACAUACACACAAAUUAGCAAACAACCAUUAUUAUUUUGAAAAACUUCACCUCUAGUUUAGACCAGUUUAUUUUGAUAAAUGGUGAAAUUUUUCUUAUUGUAGCUUGGAUAUAUGUUACAAUCAGGGACUAUUGCUUGUUUCAGGCCUGCUAUCUAAUCCCACAGUGGCACUAGAUUCUAUUUCCAUUUGGUAUGUUAACAAUUUCUCUUAGAAUAGUCUCUUAUUAUUUGCCACCAUUUCAUUUAACCAUGAUACUCCAUUGUAAUAUACUUUUAUUUUCAGCAUGAAUUACUUAGACUGGGAUAUGCAAGUUAUGUUGGGCCUUGGUGCAGCAGCAAGGUUAGUGACAAUCGACAAAAACAAUGCUUUUCAUUUAAACAACUUCCACACAAACAUAUUAAAAGUAGAUCCUAUGAUUUCAGGGUGCGAGUUAGCAGAGUUAGGAGCAGAUCAUCCAAGAGUAGCAAAAUUUUCUGUCUUCGUCGUGAAUGCAAAUAGCAUCCUCAUUAGCAUAUUUUUGUCCGCCAUGAUUUUGAUAUUCAUGGUUGGCUUGAGCGACCUUUUCACUUCUGACUCCGAAGUAAUUGAAGCUGUAUCUGACUUGACUCCAUUGCUUGCCAUUUCUGUCCUUCUAAUUGGCAUUCAAUCUACACUGUCAGAUAAAAUACUACCAUUUACUGUUUUAAAAUAAAAUAAAAUAAAAUUAUAUGCAUGAGCACCAUAUAUGGUUUUUCCAUACUUCUGAAUCUGAUCCCACCUUUUGUUUGCUGUUACUUUGAAAAUUUCAGGUAUUGCUAUUGGAAUUAGAUGGAAAGGUUUGGUGACUUAUGUAAACUUGGUUUGCUACUAUGUCAUUAGUCUUACUGUUGGAUGUGUUCUUGGCUUUAAAACUUUUUUUAGGAGUAACUGUAAGUUUAAAACAUUUCUCUCACUGAUUAUAGUUUAUUAAAUUGGUAGAGUUAGAUUAAUGAAAUGAAUGCAAUUGUGAUUUCUUUGGGAAUUUGGUGGGGAAUGAUCCUUGGAGUUUUUCUACAGACUGUUAUACUAUUAGUUCUGACUGCCAGAACAAAUUGGGGUGCAGAGGUAAUCAAAACUUUUUUUUGCCUAGACUAUAAGAUUUUAUCUGUUUCAUGUUCAACAUGAAUUGUUUGUCACUUGGGAAGGUGUGAAAUAAUUUAUAAUGUUGUUGUAGGUUGAAAAAGCUAUUGUUCGUGCUAAGAGGUCUGCUGAAGACGAGACCUUUGAUCAACUGGUUGCCGACGUAUAGAGGCAUUUCUCUAACUGUAACUUUUAUAUUCCAGGCAUGGAAGAACACUUUAACAACAUAUUAGUUAGGACUGGAGUUGAUAAUGGUGGAUACAAAUAUCGAGGAGUUGAGAAUCUGAGAUUUAUCUGUUUCCUUAUUUAUGCCGCAUCUCUUCCACGAAAGCAUGCUUUUCUCUUCAAAUUGCCACUGCCAAUACACUCUCUGUCCUUUCUCCUCUUGGUCUUGAAACCCUUUUUCAUACUAACAUCUAUCUUUCAGCAUAUUCUAAAUCUGUUUUAGAAAAUGUUGAAACUUUGAGGAAGUGAUUCUUUGGGCUGAGUAAAGAUCAGCAAAUAUUUCUAUCUGGUAUUUUGAAACACACUGAUGUAUAUAACAAGUCAAAUUUGUCUGUACUUUUACAUUUAAAAAAGGGCUUCCGAGUAGAUGAUUCAUCGACAUUGCUCUUAGAAAAGUUUUGUAGAUUGACCGGUUUCUUAGAAAUUAUCUGGAGUUGAUUCAAUCGGCUCGAAGGCCAUCAAUUUUGCUUACAUGCUGCAUUUGUGCUUCUUAAAGUUGCACAUGAGUUAUUUUGUUCCUUCUUUUUUAUUGUUAACUUGUAAAAACAGUUGUUAUAUUUAUUGUUCAACUUGUUUGAUCUAUGAAUAUUUAUAUUCUCAACUUAAAUGGGAUAGCUCAAAAACAAUUUAUCUACUUACAUAUCUGAAUUCAGUUUCCAUCAAGCAAUUUCUGAACAGUUGCUUCUAUAUAUUCUUUUGAAAAGGCAAAAUAUUUUUCUGCAUAAUAUGAACAAAAAUGGUACAACUUAACAAGUAUAGUGUCCAUGGCUGAAUUUAGAUCAUGAAGAUCCACACCAAUGUCUAUGAAUAUAUUGCUACGUUAAAACAAUACUUACCAGUUUAUUUAUUUUAUUGCAACUCACUUAACUACUCCACUAAAUGUUGGAGAAAUUUCCUAAAUAUAUAUAUUUGGAAGCUUGCAAUGAUUAAAUUGAUGUAAUGAUAUCAUUUUAACAUAUUGUAUAUCAUAUGGUUUGAUGGUUGUGUUGUAGGAAUUAUGCUUGAAGCAGACCAGCGAAUAUAUUUGGAAGUUUGCAAUGAUUGUAAUGAUAUCACUUUAACAUAUUGUAUAUGAGUCUAAUUGUCACAGACAGUGCCAUAACUCUUUGAAAAUUCUUCCAUAGUUGCUUAUAUUUUGAUAAAUUUCAGCAAAUUUUUGUUCUUAACUGCCUUCAAUUUAAUUAUUCUACACUGUUAUAUUGGCCUUGGUGCCAUUUAAUGCUCUCAAAGCCGAUAUUAAGCCAACUACUUUAAAUCUUCAUAUAUAAUGCAUAAUAUGGAGAGAAAAUAGGGUGUUGAAUGAAAUUAUAAAAUUUGGAGGUGUGUAUUUACAUUUAUAUUGUUGUUUAACAAAACAAAAUACAACUAUUUAAUUUUGGCAACAAUAAUGCCUAUACAUAAUGCAAUAGUUCAGGUGAGAUUCAGACAUUCUUAAAUGUGGGCCUAAGAAGUGACAUGUAAGUGGCACUUUUGUACCCCAAAAACACUCAGAAGAACAAUAUUGACCCACCUAAAAGUCUUAUUCACAACUAAAACGUGAGUACUGGUCCUUUUAUCUUCUUUGUCUAUGUUUAGUAAUGAUUGCCAACAAUAAAAAUCAAAGGCCAACAACAAAAUGUGGAAGGGUAGCUACAAAAUGAAAAAAUAAAUGAAAAUUCUCAUUGAUAAAUGAUCUACUUGUAAUGUUGAUGCUUCAUUCCGAACAGUGAGUGAACUGGUUAGGACUUGUUGUAGGGAACAUAAUGGAAAACCAACCAUUUCUAGUGGGGCUUGACUCACACUCACACACACACAUUGCAGAUUUAUCAUCAGAUGCUAUUGAAGAAUUCUUGGAACAUAGGCCUAUUGGGUUGAGAUGGUGGCUUAAACUUGUUGCUUGGGAGUCAAGACUCCUAUGGAUCCUUUCUGGUGCUUCUAUUGUUGUCUACCUUUGCAAUUUUAUGUUAAGCUUUGUGACCAUGAUGUUUUGUGGACAUUUAGGAUCUCUAGAGCUUGCUGGAGCAUCCAUAGCCAGUGUUGGAAUUCAAGGUCUUGCUUAUGGCAUUAUGGUAUGAUUCUCAUGCUAUCUACUUUACCCUCAGUUCAAAGUAGAAUUGUUAAUGUCUUAGAAAAUAUUUAUCAUUAUUAUAUUAUAUGUACAUCAUGUUGACAGCAUUUUACUUGAAAAAUUUGGACCAAACUUACAUAAGAGUGCCUAGAGCUCUAAGCACUGUUCAUAUUGAUUCAAUCACAAAGCAACAGUUUUUUCAAAAGACGGUAUUUUACAACUUUUCAAAAAUGUUGGUGGAAUUUGUACUAUUUUAUAGUAGAGAACAGUAAGACUUAGCAUUGUACCUAAGUAUUCACCUUAAGAUUAAUGUUAAACCUAACUAUGAUUUUUUAAUAUAUUCAUAUUUGUCAUUUUCCUUAAAUAGCUAGGAAUGGCAAGUGCAGUGCAAACUGUGUGUGGACAAGCUUAUGGAGCCAAAAAGCAUGCAGCAAUGUGCAUAACAUUGCAGAGAGCAAUCAUCUUACAUUUUGGUGCAGCAGUGAUUCUCACAUUUCUCUAUUGGUUCUCUGGAGAUUUUCUAAAAGUCAUAGGACAGACAGAGAGCAUAGCCGUGCAAGGUCAAGUGUUCGCUCGUGGACUUAUUCCGCAACUCUACGCAUUUGCAUUCAGCUGUCCAAUGCAGAGGUUUCUCCAAGCGCAGAACAUUGUUAAUCCUCUGGCAUAUAUGGCAGUUGGAGUUCUCCUUCUUCAUGCGCUUCUUAGCUGGCUAGUCGUUGUUGUUUUAGGCUAUGGCCUUCUAGGUGCAGCCCUUACUCUCAGCUUUUCUUGGUGGAUUCUUGUCUUUUUAAAUGCAUUGUACAUCAUUUUUAGUCCAAAAUGCAAGGAAACUUGGACUGGCUUCACUAUGAAGGCCUUCAUAGGAAUUUGGCCUUACUUUAAGCUUACAGUUGCUUCUGCUGUGAUGUUAUGGUAUGACUACAUGCUUAUUUUCACUCCAAUUAUGUUAUUUGAACAUCAGAAUUAGCCACCAGAUGUGUUUAUCUAUCUCUCUUAAUUUAUAUUUUCUACAACUUGCACAGAUUCCAAAAUAUACACGAAAACGAAAGGACACCGUACUCGACGACAAAAUUUUAAUGUCAACAAAUCAUAUCUCUUUUCACUAUCUGACAUAUAUGAAUGCAUACACACAAAUAAACAAUUAAGGACUAGUUUGUUUUGAUAAUAUGAAAUGUAUCUAAUUGUAGCUUGGAGAUAUGGUACAAUCAAGGACUAGUACUCAUAUCAGGGCUGCUAUCUAAUCCCACAGUGGCACUGGAUUCUAUUUCCAUUUGGUAUGUUAACAAUUUCUCUUAGAAUAAUGUUUCUUAAUAUUUGCCAACAUGUUAUCUAACCAUGAUACUCCAUCCUAAUGUACUUCCAUUUUCAGCAUGAAUUACUUAAACUGGGAUAUGCAAGUCAUGUUGGGCCUUGGUGCAGCAGCCAGGUUAGUGACAAUUGACCAAAAACAAUGUGUUCUAUUUAGACAAUUUUCACUUAUAUUAAAAGUAGGUCCUGUAAUUUCAGUGUGCGAAUUAGCAAUGAAUUAGGAGCAGCUCAUCCAAGAGUAGCAAAAUUUGCCAUCUUCGUCGUGAAUGGGAAUAGUAUCCUCAUAAGCGUAGUUCUGUCCGCCAUUAUUUUGAUAUUCCGGGAUGGUUUGAGAAACCUUUUCACUUCUGACUCUGAAGUCAUUGAAGCUGUAUCUGACUUGACUCCAUUGCUUGCCAUUUCUGUCCUUCUGAAUGGCAUUCAACCUAUACUGUCAGGUAAUAAUUAUAAUUUAUAAUCAUAAACACCAGUUUCAGUUUUUCCACAUUUCUGAAUCUGAUCCCUGCUUUUGUUUGCUGUUCUUUGAAAAAUUUCAGGCGUUGCAAUUGGAAGUGGAUGGCAAGCUUUGGUGGCUUAUGUAAACUUGGCUUGUUACUAUGUCAUUGGUCUUACUGUUGGAUGUGUUCUUGGCUUUAAAACUUCUUUAGGAGUAGCUGUAAGUUUAAACAAUUCUCUUACUGAUUUUAGUUUUAUAUUUGUACAAAGUUAGCGCCGUGUAAUGAAUUUAAUUGUGAUUUUUAUAGGGUAUCUGGUGGGGAAUGAUCCUUGGAGUUUUUAUACAGACUGUUACACUAAUAAUUCUGACUGCCAGAACAAACUGGGGUGUAGAGGUAUUCAAAACAUCUGGUCUAGACAAGAAUUUAUUUGUUUCAUGUUCUACAUGAAAUUGUUUGUUGCGUGAGGUGUGAACCAAUUUAUAAUGUUGUAGGUUGAAAAAGCUAUUGUUCGCGUCAAGAGAUCUGCUGAAGACGACACUUUGGAUCGACUGGUUGCCGACGUAUAGAGGCAUUUCUUACUGUAACUUCUCUAUUCCAGCAAUCCAGGCAUGGAUGGAAGAACACUUUAGCAGAUUUGUCUUGUUUUCAAACUUCAGGGAUAUUGAUGUUGGGUUUGUUCUGUAUAUCUUCUAGGAUUCUGAGUUUGGGCAUAAGCUCAACAACUAAGCUGAAUAGGAAGUUGGAUAAGAAUUUCAUGACAUGGCAGGUUGUUAGUAUAUGUGAGGGAAUAUCUGACAAGGAAGGAAAGUGAGGGUAUUUAACAUCUUUUCUGUUAGAAAUCUUUUGGGUUGAGCAAUAACUCUUGAAUACGGGGUUCUUCUGUUUCGAACAAAAAAAAGGGGAUUCUUUUGUAAUAUCAUUUCCUGUCCUCUGUUAAUUUGGUUUCCUAAAAAAUAUCAGUUCAUACAUUUUUAUGAUUUUAAGUAAAACAAAUCAGUUUUCAGACCCAGCAUUAGUAUUUCAACCAGUGGAAGGAUUAUGGAAAGGUGGAUUUCAAAACUCUCAUUUGAUGAUGGCGGAACCAAUUAGGUGGUGGAAAAUAUGACUCUAAAUAAUGUUUGACUUCAUUAACUAGUAACUAUAAGAUCAAAGAAAAGGAUCUCAAAAUAUAAAUAGAUAUAAUGUAAAGAUUACAUUAAAAAGAGUACAAUACUGCAUUGCUCUCCAGAAAAAACAAAAUUUCAGGUUCCGCAGCUUAAAAUGAUAACCAGGGAAAACACCAAAGUAGCCAACCAUAUUUGGCAGAAAAUAUAACCAAAUGUACUGUCCAAAUACCCAAUGAUGCAUUUAUGCUCUAUUCAUGACAUUACUCAACCUCUAGGAAUCACAAUACAUUAAAGGUACAAAGAUUGAACCGUCUACUGUUCAAAACAACAUUGAGGAAAGACACGCCACUCAUUAGGGGGCAGCAUAAGGCUUCCAAAAGAUCAAAUACGAGAUAUCAGAAGUGGAAUGACUGAACCCUCUUCCAACUCUGGCUGGAAUAUAUCUAGUUCCCCAUAUCUUUCUAGGACACGCAUCCUGCAGUCCUCAGCAGCCAUGGUUCCAGUAGAAUAUGCACCAUGAACAGACCCUGUAUAUAAUACACUCGUUGCUUCCCCUGCAAAGAAUAAGUUAUCUACAGGAACCCGCAACCUCUCAUACAGACCAUGCGGUUUCCCAACUGCGUCAAAACUAUAAGAACCUAGUGAAUUAAUAUCUGUACCCCACCGAGACACGAGAUACUGAAUCUGCAUAAAGGAAACAGACUCAAUUCAGCCAUAUAGCUAUCAUCAGAGAAUCUAUGCACAAGAACCUAAAUGGAUUAAAUUUUAAAGAUUCUGUACCCUACAAAACAUGGUUCAAGAGAUUUCACUCCUCUAAACUAGACAGUACACAUUAGAAAGUAAAAUACAAGUGAUAAUUUUUCUAAUCAAUUAGUUUCAAUUCCACACUAUAUCUUCUAAAAUGCACCCUUCAGUCCCUAUCACUUUAGAGGAACCAAAUCCACUUUGAACCUCUCACUUUUAUUCCAUAGGAAAAAACGAGUUAAAUAAAAUUAAAACUAUUAUAAUUACCGGUGAAGAAGCAUCAGGAAGGAUCUUCUUGAGUUGUGUGAAAGCAAAGUCGGCAGCUGCUUCAUCAGACAUUUUCUCAAUGUCUUUGGCCAGCCGCCCAGCAGGCAUGUAAACAAGAACAGGAUGACCUGCAGCUUUGUGAAGAUUAAGAAAGUAGCUGCAUCCAUAAGAUGUCUCAGCAACUACUCCCAGGAACUCCACAUUGGGCCAAAAUACAUUUUUGAAGUGUAAAAUUAUUUUAUUCUCAACUCCAACCCCGAUAUCGGCAAUGGCAGCUUCUUUCCAAUCUGGAAGUUUUGGCUCAAAUUUUAUUACAUUUGCUUUCAGUACCCCAAGAGGUACAGCAAUGAUAGCAGCAUCAGCAACAAAUGUUUUCCCAUUUUCAGUAGUCACCUUCACUCCAUUAUAUCCCCUAACUAUCUUUGUCGCCCUGAAAAUAGGCAUCAUCAAUGCCAGUUAGUUUGGCAAACCAACAAAACAGGACAAAGACUUUCAAAACAAAACUUCAAACAAAUAUAUACCUGUGCCCCAACCGAAUGUCAAGACCCUUGGCUAGGGUAUGUAUAACAGGUAGGUAGCCCCUGACCAUAAGACCAUGACCACCAGGGAGCAAUUCUUCCUGUAACCAGAUAUAUAGAGAAGGGUGAGUUACACAUCAAAAUGUUAAUGCACGUAAUGAUUACAAGUUACUCGCAACAUAAUGUGAGUAUAUGAAACCAUACGGAGUCACUUAUUAAUCUCAUUUUUAUAUCCCUUACAUCUAAUAUUAUAAUAUCCUCAAUAAAAGCCGGUACAAAUGGCAUAUUAUUAACAUUUAACCUAAAACUCGCACCAAUGGUGUAUAAAUAAGAACUUGCCACCUAAUAAUUGUUUCCUUCAAUAAUGUGUCUAAUAAAAAAGAUCAACAAGGACAAAGAACUGAAAUGGAAAAACCAAACAUGAAUCCUCAGUCCACCGCCAUGCAAUUCAAAUUUCAAUGACAUAAACUUGAAAUAGAUUUUCAAAAAAAAAAAAAAAAACUUGAAAUAGACAAAUACAAAUAAUAGAACCCAAACAUCUUGAACACGGUUUCUUGCAAUUACCUGGUCCCAACAUUUCAGUGAUAUAGAAUCAGAAUCUGCAGCAAACCAGCCCUCCAUUCUGCAUAAAUACCACUGAAGCACCUUGUGUGAAAGCCCCUCCAACCUGCAUCCAAUAAUGAAAAUCAAAUUAUAUAUACACUACAUGAGCUUUGAUAAAAUGAAUGGUGGUCAAAAAAUUUGAGUUUUAUGCCAAUAAUGACCUCAGUUCUGGCUUUCUUUCAAAAACAAUUGAAAGUGCACGUAGAAUGGACAUGUCUUCACUGAAUUCCUGUCGUACAUUAUCUGUCUGCAUUAAUGAAGUGUCAAUUGUUAGAUGAGAUGCUCAUUGUAAACAAGUUGAAUCAAACAUUUGCGAUUUCAAUUAAAAAAAAUGUAUUCCUGAAAAUUUGAAUUCUAAGAAAUACAACACAUCAGGUACACCUAAUACCUAGAAAUAAACAAAUGACAUACCUCUUGCAAAAUCAUUUCAAAUGUUUUACCAACUUCUGUAACCAGCUCUUGUGGAACUUGAUUCCCCUCCAUAUCGAAGAGUGCAUAGCUGUAAAAAGUUGACAAGUUUGAAUUGAAGAAUCCCAUAUCCAAUAAUAUACCAUUCAAGUUGACCAGAGGAAAGAUUGAAGCAUGCAAUGUAGUCGUUAAUUACUUACAAAAGCAUUGAAGAAAUUGAUAACUACUACCAUAUAAUAACAAAAAAUGCAUUUACCUUUCCAAAUCAUGAUCGUAUAGGACAGAGUUAUCCUCACAAGUCCGGUAAAGAGGUAGUCCCAGCCUCCCAAUCAAUGGAGCCAGAGGAUUCUCAUUGCAAACUCCAUGCAACCUGAAUCAUAAUCAUCCAUUUUCAAUGCUAAAAUAAAAAAGAAAGAAAUCUUGCGUUUUUGUCAACAUGAAAAAAUCAGAACAAAAAGAGUAUAAUCUUUACCAUGAUGCACCUAGGUCAACAGGAAAACCAAAUGAGUAAUCAGUGUGAAUUCUGCCACCAAUUCUAUCCCGUGAUUCUAAAAGAACGACCUGAAAAGUAGUGAACUUCAGUACAACUCUCAAUCCAAAUAAAGGAGCUGAUAGAUACAAAAGUAUGUAUGUUGAAAUGAGAAUAAGAGGAAAAAUAAUAAUAAUUAAAGGAGAUGGUGUCUCUCUUCAUUAGCUAAAUAUAUGUGUGUUCAUAUGUCACCAUGUGGAAAUGAUAAUUUGUCCCAAAGGUGUGGUUUGGUUUGACUAAAGUACAAAGCCAGUCAAAUCCAAUUUUAAACUCUAACAAAACAACCAAGUGAAGUUGUAUAAUCCAAGAUAGCAUAAAAUGGUUUUAAACAAGCUACUGUUACUUUAAGAUAACUUAUUGAGCCAAAAUACAACAAUCGCAAUCAUAAAUGAGUUGCAAAUAUUUCCAAUGAAAUAGAUUGCAAUUAGCAUUAAACUUAAGUUAUAUGUACAGGACAUUUAAUUCUUAAUCAUCUUCAAUUAGUAGACAUAACUAACAACCCACAGCAAAUAACAGACACAGAUAAUUGUAGUCAUAUAGCCACAAGCCAAAAUCGAAGACAAACAUUGUGUAUUGAUGUGGCAUGUAAUCUAUAAAACACUGACACUUCAGAUUGAAGGUGUGUCUGGCAUCCAAGGGACACAUGUUGCACCUUAAAUAGUUUCAACAACAACUAGCCAGUCUUAUCCCACUAAGUGGGAUCGGCUACAUGGAUCAAAUUACGCCAUAAACUAUAUUUCUAUCCAACUCAUUAAUCUUUAGAUCUUUCUUAAUAGUUUUUCUAGGUCUUCCUCUACCACUAGUGAUAUGACCAUCCAUCAUCUUAUCUACUCUCCUUAGUGUCAGUGUCAUUGCAUGUAACUCUUGGCAAACUGAAUAGUAAGUAAAAUAAAGUAAACCGCUAUAUCAUUUGCUUGAAUACCUGGAAUGAAGCAUCAUGAAGUGCACGGGCAGCAGCAAUCCCAGCCAUGCCACCGCCUAUGACAAUAACAGACGGCGACCUUCGAGGCUGCUGAUCAACAUUGACAUAACACAAACCUACAUAGGCAGUACAACAACAACAACAAAAAUCAAAGUCAAUAACAAACAUAAACACACUAAUAGAACCAAAACAUGUCAAAUAAACACAAUUAUCAGACACAAAAACACAUCAAAUCUCUAUUAGAAACAAACCAAUAAAACUCUUUAAUUAUUCAUCAUUUCAGAUUCUGAUGAUGACAACGACCCAAAAGAUUUUUCACUUUUUUCUCUCUCUCACUUUUCAAACCCUAUUCACGUAUUUUUUACCAAUAUAUAAAAAUAACAACAUCAUAAAAAUUAGAAAUUUAAUCAAUGAAUAUAUAAAAAAUACCCUGAUCACAAAAAUUUAGAAAUUUAAUCAAUUAGGAGUAAAAGCAGCGAAAUUAAAGCCCACAAACCUAAAACCAGAUCUAUUAUAAUCUAAUCAAAUAAUUAAUUACCACAUUCAGAACAAAAAAAAAAGCAUCAACAUUUAUAAACCAAAAUAAAAAAUAAAAAGAGGGUAGUUAAAAAAUGAACCUUUUCGUGAAUUGGGAUUAGUCUUAAUUCGUGACUCCAUAGUUGGAAUUAGAAUGAAAAUUAAUACUACUUAGGCUAUUGGAAUUGGAUAAUGAAGGUUUAAAAUGAAGAUUAAAGAUUAAUAAACAAGUAAUGAAGUGAAAGGAAUUAUGGUUGGAGAAUAAACGCAGUUUUCCAAACCAGCUCAUGCAGCUAAAUUUGUUGAAAUUCAAAUCAACGAAAACGAAAUUAGGGUUUUUUUCUCUUCUCAGCUCGAUCGGAUCAUGAAGCGAAUUUCGCUGUUGUCUAUGGAGAUCGAUCCGAACGAGGAGAAGAGAAAAUUGGUUUUGGUUUGGUCGGUGUUUGGUUAUUGGUUUUGAGAGAAGAAAGAAAAUAAGAGGAAAGUGAAAUUCGUCAAUAAUUGGUGCGAAACGAAAAAGGAGAUUCAGAUGCUGCUGUUGGUGAUGAUGCUAUGGUUAUAUAUAGACUGUGUUAUGGUGGUUGAUAACAAACAAAACCUUGUUGAGGACAAUAAAGGGACGCGUCCUAUGUUACAGGGGUGUUUUCGGAGUUUUCUAUUAUUUCUUCAAACGACACAUGGCAUGACAAUUAUAAUAUUUUGCGAUCGGAUUAAUCUUUUGAAUCGGAUAAAACUAUAAUGAGCGAAAAAUCUCUUCUCAAAAGAUUUGACACUAUUACAUUUUCUUCACCGAAUUCGAACUUAUAAUUAUUUUUAGUGAUUGGAAUUCGAACCACUGACCUUGAGUAUACAAUGUAUUGUUCAUAUCAACUGAAUUAAGUUUACGAGGACGAACUUAUAAUCUUUAGUUAUACUAAGGGUAUGAUUGAUUUGCUAAUUUUUUUUUUAUUAAAUGAUAUUUUGCAUGUUGUUUGAUUUAUAAAUUGGUUAAGAGAUCGAACAAAUAUAUAACACAACUAACUCGAUAAAAACAUAAUUUCUUAUCGUUCACUAAAAUUAUGAGGCAACUUUUUAUUGACAAUACAUACGUCAUAAAUAUCAAAAUUCUAUUUUUAUUUUUCAACAUAUAAAUAUUAUCUCUCUUAAGAGCAUUUACAAUAGAGACUCUCAUCUUUGAGGUCUUAAAUGGGUCCCAUAUUGACACGUAACUUUUUAAUAAUUUUUUAAUAAUAGUACUUAAUAGGUACUCAACCACUCCAAUGGAGACCCUAUAACAAAAGGUCUAAUUGGAUCCCACCAAUAUUAUUUAUUCAAUACACUAUCUAUUUUAAUACACUUUUUAAUUAUUAUUUUAAUAAAAAGGUGGUGUGGGUCCAUUUAAGAAUGAAAUCUUAAUUUAGAAUUUGCAUCUUUUAAGACCCUCAGUUUUUUUUUCUCACAAUGGGGGUACCUAUUAGGUACCAAGUCUUAAAUGUUUAAAAGAUAUAAUUAUAUGUAACAGACAUCAAGAGGCAUCAUCGACAUCCCAACUAGGUUGGCACUCCGAGAGACCUCCAUCCUAUACCGCCAAACUCAAAAGAUAUAAUUAAAAAAGGGGGAAAAUAUUUACAAAAGGAGUGGGGACUAGACCAAAACCCUAAAAUGAACAGAAAAGAAAAGAAACAGAGGAAACAACAAAACAGUCCAAAGAACAGAUCAAGGAAAUCUGUAAUUAGGAAAUCCACAUCUAUCUCGAAAGAAAUCAAGCCUCAAUUCACUUGGUAGAAUGUCAAGCCAAACCACACUAAUAGUAGCAAGUAAGUCAUUUCCCUUAGGUAAUAAGGGUCCUCUAUUAUUAAUGCAAAACAGCUCUAACAUUCCAAUAGAGGAAAUUCAUUGACUAGUCGAAUGAUUUAGUAGGUUGCUUUGCUAAGACUUGUUGUACCUUGAGUUUCUGUUUCUGUUUUCUUGUUAGAACAGGCAUGAAGUCUUCAGCUGCUGAUCUUUCAUCAUAUUCUCGGACUCUUGCCCACAAAUCUAAACCAUGCUCGAUAUUCUUGCUAGGAUGAACCUCUUGCUUUUGCAAAAUAACCACAUCUUGUUCCUUUUCCGUGGGCAUACUUCCACUAACAACACUGGGUGGUUCGACAACCACAUGUGAUUUCAAGGCGUGUGAUCCAGCAUGCACGUCAUCGUGCUCAACAACAGUAUCCAUCUGAACCUGCACCGAUUCUACAAACCCUUCAUGCACCUCUUGGUGCUCAACAACAUGUGAUGAAUGUGGUGCACUCUCAAUGGAACCUUUGGGACUCUCCUCCAGCUCCCUCGGGCUCGAAAGAUUGUAAUCCACCUCAUCUGAAAGCAAACUAGAGACAUCAUCCAUUGUGGGGUUCUCCAACACCUCCCUUGAUGUUAGAUGUAAUUGCUCUGCUCUCUCAGAAUGCACGUCAACGUGCGCAACAGGAGAAACAACUUCUAACACUGGCAUAGUGUGUGGCAAGGAUAGUCCAUUUAGUACUUACUCCCUCAAACUCAAAAUAACGUCUCUUUAGCAUUUUUUUUCUCUGAAUCAAAAUAAUUAUGACUUAAUUACCUUUUUGGUCCUCUGACUAUUUAAUUGGUAUCGGAUUGGUCCUCUAACUAAAAAUUGAUUUAUUUCGGUCCUCUAAGUUUCUCACUGUUACUACAUUUAAUCCUUUCUGUUAGUUUUAUUCAAAUAAACGUUAGGGUUUCUGUUAUGUGGGCAUCUGAUCUCCUGUUUCACACAUACAUAUGAAUACCUUAACAAGGCAUAGGACCAAAACGUUUAGAGGAGCCACAUAACACAAACCCUAACGUUUAUUUGAAUAAAACUAACAGAAAGUACUAAAUGUAAUAACAAUGAGAAACUUAGAGGACCGAAAUAAAUCAAUUUUUAGUUAGAGGACCAAUCCGAUACCAAUUAAAUAAUUAGAGGACUAAAAAUGUAAUUUAGCCAAUAAUUAUCAUUUUACAAUAUCAAUGUAUUUAUUUUUUUUCCACUAUUAUAUCAUUUAUUUAUUGAAUUUAAUCCAACUUAACUACUCCACUAACUAUAUGUAAUAAAGGUAUCUUAGUAAAUUACAUUAAUUACCAUUAAAAACAACAUAAUUAAUCAUUUUAAAAAAAUUUGUGCACAAACCUUAAACGACUAUUAUGUUAAAAUAGAGAGAAUAUUAUUUUACAAAUUAGACUAGACCUGUCUUAAAAAAAUAUUUAUCAUCUCAUUUAAAUUAUUUAUUUAAGUUGAGAAGGAUGGAAGUGAGGGGAAAUCUUUCUGGAGAUAUUCUAUUGUGAUUUAUUCCACAAAUGUCGCACUGUCAUUGUAUAUUCGAAUAUCCAUGCGCCAAUAUAUAACAUUAGUUAAAGGAAAGAGUUGAUUUUAUAUGAUAAAAAAAGAGUUUUUUUUUUUGUCAAAAAAAAAAAAAGAAGAAGUUAGCUAAAAUAUUGACAUAUUUUAUGAGUUAAAUAUGAUUUUACUCUUUCUAAACAUAUCAACUCUUAUUUUUAGUCCUCUAUAAAUAUCCUCCAAAUUUACUUACGACAUAUCAUUCUUAAGAAUUUAAAAUACAUUUAACAUUUUUGAAGAAAAAAAUGUUAAAUGUAUUUUUUUAAGAGAAACUUCACAUUUUUUUAACAUAAUAAUCUAAUUAUUUAAUCUUUAAUUUGAAACCCAAAAUAAAUCUCCCUACAAGAAUUGCCUAGUUUUUAUUUUAGAGAAACUUCACCUUUUUUUCAAAGUUCUCUUUUUUCCUUCACUAAUUGAGGAAGGUGGUUUUAUGUCUUUCUUUAACCUAUAAAUACCACUAAGUUCUUGUACUAUAUCAAUUUAAAUGAAUGAAUAUCGUUUUGUUUUUGUUAAAAAAAAAAAAAAACUUUAAUAUGAAGUUAUAGAUAAAUUAAUGAUUUUGUAAAAAAAAGGACAAAUUAAUGAUAUUUUAAUAUAUAAUCAUUUAAAAAAUUUACUCGAAAUAUAAAACACGAGCUUUUGUAAAAAUGUAGGGACUAAAAUUAUUGAUGAAAAAUUAAAGAGACCAAUAUUUAAAGGAAACUUUUUGAGGAUUAAAAAUGAAAGUUGUUUUUUUGUCAACAAAAAAAAAAUGUGGAAGUUGUUUUAUGAAGUAAAAAAAAUAUGGAAAUUGUUUUAUGAGGUAAUAGUCAUUUUGAUCCUUUCCUUAAAAAAAGUCAUUUUGGUCCUUUUUUUUAAGAAGCUAAAUUAGCCCACCAAAUUAGUAUUGGAGAGAAUCGAAGCUAAGACCUUGAGGAGGAGCACACUCCCAUGUCCCAAGCUAACCCACAUUUUUAUUUAUUUUUGGUGAAAUAAUUUAGUGGCUAAAAAUUCACCUCUCAAAAUGAAAAUCAUAGAUUUUUAAUAUAUGAUUACAAAUAUUUUUUACACUUCGAUAAAGGAAAGAGUUAAUCGAAAAAAAGAGGUUGGAGAGGGAGAGUCGGGACUUGCAAGAAAAGUGGAGUUGGAGAAGUUUAAGUUGAGCACAUGGUGUGGCUGGCUAGGAGGAGAGGGAAAAAAGAAGGUUAGCCAUAACAAUUGAGAGGUUUCUUACGUUAAUAUGAUUAAAGGGAAAGGGAAGAAGUAUGAGGGAGUCACAGCUGAUGUGAAAUUAGGUGUUGAGGUGUUAUGGAACAAUGUGGUUCUUUUUUGCUCUGGGAAAGUAAACAUGUUAUUUGUUAAUAAUGUUCCUAUUACAAAUGCCCUUGUUCAUGAUCUCAAGAAUGACUGGGAGACUUUGACAGCACAAGUUCCACUAAUGACAUUACAGCGGACACACAUAAACAAUCCCAUUUAACAUGCGGAAUUGCGGACUACUAGCCUCAAGGUUCAUAUUGAGAGUAGCUGAUGCGGACCAUUUGAAACAAUUCUAAACAUACAUUCAAGAUCAUAUUAUGUAUACACUUUAGAGGUCUUCUAGGGUUGUAACGUGACUUAGGUUAAAGAGAUAUAUAUUUGAGAAAGUAGGUUAACAAAACAACUUGAAGUUAGAUUAGCCAUACAAAUUGCAAUUGUAUCAAAAUAUGAUGAGUACGAGUAGAACUACUUUUUUUUUUUUUUUUUUUUCUUUUUGAAAAGAUCAAUUUUUGUGCUUUUUGAUUAUUUUAUUUUUUUUUGUGUGUGUAGACCCUUAUAUUUUAUGGUUUAUUUACAUUCUUUUGUAAUAAGCAAGUUCUACUGAUACACCAUCCCAAAUUUAGAAUGUUGCUAAUUGUAAAGAGCAACCCAAACUUUAUUUCAAAUCAUGCCAAAUUCUUUAAAUACUAUUUACCUAAAUUCAAGAAAAAUCAAAUAGAUGACAUUAAGAUUUAAAACUUGUGAGGAGAAACUAUCACUGCAAUAACUUAUCAAAGAGCGAUUAAACCACCACUUUUCUCCAAACUUAACCACCUAAUUUUGUUUCUUUGUUUAUCUCUCUUUUUUCCUUACUAAUUUCUCUCUUUUCCGCUCUUACACCUAUUAAGGAAUAAAUAUUUCACUCUACUCUUCCAUAAUGCCUACCACAUUUGCAAUUAUGAGUUGUAGUCAUAUCCUCCAAUUCUAUCACAACACCUUCCCCGCAACAUGUCACCAUUCAUCAAUAUACACGACAUACUAAAACAUUUAUCAAUAACAUCAUCGACAAACAACACUAGGCUCAUACUGCGGCUUGAGAUCUUUUAAAUGAUCUAACUCAUCAACAAAUAUCAUCAAACAUUCUUUAAAAAAAAAACAAAUAUCAUUAGACAUUACUUGAAUCUUCUAAUGCAAUUCAACCUCAGCUAGUUAUUUAUACAACUUAGUGUUCCACAUUUAAUACCUCUAGAAUUUUAUAUAGUUUUGAACCUUAAUGAUGAUAAUGUGUUCAUGUAUGUUAUGUCUUAUUGAAGAUAGCCUUAAACUCUUAUGACAUACAAGUCACAGUAUGGCAAACCAAAAUUCUAAGAAGUAUAUUUUUUUUUUGUUACAAUUCUAAGAAGUAUUUAAUUUUAGUGUUCGACAUGAUCCGAGAGAGAACUAUAUACAAAAAAUGCGUCACUAGAAUUGCUCAUGCCUCAGGCAAGGAAAAUUAAAUAUGAAAACUUCCUUUAACAAGAGGACUCAAUCAUAAAUCCCCUCUUACUUUAUCAUAAAUAUUAUAGAAAUUCAAACUUCUCAAAGUCAAAUAGUUUUUAUCUCUCAAAAAAUAGUCAACUAUUAUAUGUACUAGUUUUUUGGCAAAAUGUCAAAUUGAUAUAUUCUCCAAGAUAGUCUAUGCAUGCAUCCAGUCCACCACAUGGUUGAUGAUGCAAAAGGCAAGCUUAGUUGAUUUCUACAACAGAUAAUGGUUAAUUCAUAUUUGCUUCAAGAUAAAAAGUCAAACUUCUUAAAUCACAAAAUAAUAAUCACACUCUCUCAUAGCAUGUUUCAUACUUUGCAUAGAAUGUCUAAAUAAGUUUUAUUUUAUCUUUUCAAUAUAAUAUUAUAUAUUUUAUUUCAAUUGUGUAUACUUAUGAAGCCUCCAUACUCUAAAUAUGGAGUCGUAUCCGUAUCAGAUAUCGAUACUUUGCGGAUAUUCGCGGAUAUGUAUCCACGAAGUAUCGGAAUUAAUUAUUUUAAUUUAUAAUAUAUAUUUUAUCGGAUAUUUAUAAGAUACUCGACAAAUACACACAUAUACUUAUAAGAUACUUCACAUAUAUAUACACUCGAAAAAAAUGAAGGGUAAAAAAGUGAGAUUGUGUCGUGAAAAUUAAAUGGAGAUGUAUAAGAUUCAACAUUAAUCAAACUUUGUUUUGAAUUCUUUUAUCGAUGCAUUUGUUGAUAUCUAAAUAUAUGAAUGAAAAUAGAAUAUAAUUUGUUUUUUUUUUUUUUUUAAAUUGUGACCUUUACGAUUAAAUAGUAAUGAAGCGUAAUCAAUACUUUUUUUCAAGUAUAUUCAUACAUAUAAGUUUUAGUAUAAAAAUCUUGUUAACGUAUUUUAGCCGUAUCGUAUCUUAAAUUUAUAAAUUUUGUGUAUCCGCAUAUCUGUAUCAUAUUGGACUAGCUAGGUGUAUACUACUUAUCUUUGUUAGAUGUUAUUUUUUUGGAAUUUUUUUCACAUUAUGCUUUCAAUAAUGCAAAUUAAAAGGUAACCGAGAAAAGGAGAGAAGAGAGAGGAAUUGAGGUAAGUAAAGAAGAGAAAUUCUCAUCACAAAUUAUGCAAGUCACAAAGUCUCUCUAUUGUGGCUUAGUUAACCUUUGCCUCAAGUAACGCCUUGAAUUUCCUAAUCGUAAUUAGCUUUAGGACCCCUUGAGGUACAGUUGUUUCCAACAGCUUUUUAAUUAAACACAUACCAAAAUAAGCUGUUUUUAAUAAUGUAAAUUUUACUAUGUCAUUUGUUAAUUUAGUUGGAAAGCUGCAAUUGUAUUAUGUGAUGUGAGGACCUUGUUUAAUUUGUAGUAUACUUAUCUGACAUUAUAAAUGUUACUAGCCAAAAAAUUAUUACAUUAUUAAUAUGUUUUGAUGCUUAGGUAUAAAAAUUUGAGCCAAAGGCCCAGAAAAAAAAAUAGAAGCCAGAGAGAGAAAGGAACUAAUAAUUAAUAAACCUUGUUACUCUAUAGAAUAUCAUAGAUUAUGCCAUAAAAUAAAACAGUACUACCUAUUAUAGUAAUAUAAAUUUCAGCACAAAUACAAACAUGAUAGAAGCUUACAUAGAUUAAUUUUUAUAUAAAUACCCCCAUUUCUUAUUCUACAAAUGCAGCACAACUCAGGUGCUGCUAGCCAAUAUCUAUAACUCUUCAUUUCUCACCUCAUGUGUUCUUCUGGGUGCUAAAUCAACUAUGCUGCAGGUGCUAUAUCAAUAUCACCAUCAUCGUCGUCUCCUUCACUCUUCCUCUGAGUGCAACAGUUGUUGAAUUGAGUUGCAGCCAAGUCACUUCCCAUGUUUCUCAUGAGAAGAUUUGAUUCCAUGGAACUUAGGACCACCAUUGUAGCACAAAUAUGUUCUAAAGAAUAAAGAGUGUUAAAUUUGGCUGUAAUGUGAAGUAAGUAUGUUGACUCAAGAUGAAGUCAUGAGUCUUCAAAACCACCUUAUUUAUAGACUAAAACGUUUACUCAAAUUUACUGCAGUAAAAAAAAUGGACUUGUAUUCUGUGCAGUUGAGGAGUUUAUGUAAUUGAACAGUUGUUUAAUUUCAACUGUCUGAUGAAGAUAUGAUUGUACAAAUUUAAACUCCAACAAAUUGGCUUUAAAAUGUAGUUGAAACAUCAUUUAUUCAAUGUGAAGUUUAUUCGAAGACAAACCAACGUAGUUGUUCGUAUUUUAAAUAGGACAGCUCUAUCUAUGUUUAAUCUCCAAAAAAAAUUAUAAUGUCACAUAUUGUAUUUUCUUAUAUUAUUUAUGUAUAGUUGAGACAUUCAAUCAUUUUUUUUUUUUAAUAAUCUAGUGACGAAAAUUCCACAAAUUAUUUAUGCAGAAUUGCAAAUUAUCUAAACAUAUUAAAUGUCAUUGCAACUAUCAUUCUAAUAUAAAUGUUCAAUUUUAUUUUAUUGUUGUAAUCAAAUUUGUAUAAGCAGUACUACUAUUGUAGUAAAUGUAUAAUUAUUAUUCUAAUACCUUAUAUGGGGCAGGUUUAACAUAUUUAAGAUUGUCAGAAAGGUAUAUUUGCUUUAUUUGCUUUCUCUACCACAAUUAAGGCACUUUAAUUUUAGUUUUGUUUUCUUGUUAGAGCUAAAACAUUUUUAAGUGUGCAAAGGAGGAAAUGGCUGAGCUGGUGAGGUUUCUACCAUACAAUUUGACAUGAUGGACAGAGAUGGUCCAUAACUUGAGCAAAGCUCAUGGCUUCUUGCUGCACACCACAUUCAACAUGUGGUGUUAUGAGUUUGCACACACGCUUGAGCUUUAUAGUCACAUGCACAUUUUAUAUGACAUGGAUAAUGAUAUAUAGCAAAUAUGCACUCAAAAAGUGAAAUUAACGUAAAUGCCAAAGGGUUUUGUUUUGGCCAAAUGUGGCCUCUUGUAUAGAGGAAAAGAGUUACAACUGUGUAAUGCAUGUGCUUGUUUCAUUUCCUUAAUGACUUUUCAAAUUUCAAAUAGCUAUAUGAAAUUCCAUAUCAUAUAGUUCAAGUUUCACCUUUAAAAAAACUUAAGUUUCUAGUUUUGUGGACUCUAAUGACCUCUCCUACAGAGAUUAAUCUUAUCUUAUCUUACUUAAUAUAAAUCUAAGGUAGUCUGAUAGCUAGGAGGAAAUCCCUAACCCUAAUGACAACCCUAAUACCUUAUUUCCCUCCAAAAUCAUGACAUAAAUGCAGUUUAAUUACUCUGACCCACCAACUAAUUUCACACGUUUUUUUGAGUUUUGAACCACUCAAUACACGCUUCUCAAUGCAUAGAAGAAAGUUAUUUGGAGACUUUCUAGGAUUCAGCUUGCCACUCACACUCAAGAUCAUCUAAAACGUCUAUUUUUUUCUUCCUGGUCGGUCCAUUUCUUCUUUCUUGACAGAUCUCCUCCAUUCCUCUUCUUAUUUUCUAAAAGGAUAUUUUUGCAUCUUUUCAACCGUCCACUCUGAUUUUUCUCCAUUACUCAAACCCCGUACUCACAUCAGACGAAGACGGAGAAGAUCUUUACAGUGGUGACUUUUCAUAAUCAACUCAAAUAAAAAAUUUAUUCGUCGACAAUUAUUAAAUUUGUUAUUUCUCAAUUUCAUAUUCGAUCUGUUCUUUCUAAUUUCAAUUUCGAUUAAAGAUUUCAUUGACGAUUUUGACUGAUGAUUCCUUUGACGAUUUUGAUUUUUGUUUCGUUUAUACUUUAGGGUUUGGAUAGCAUCUCGCACGAUGUUGACAAUGGAUGGAAGAUCAAUGCUGGUAGUUAUAAUUGUGAGCUUUUUAUUCAUUUUUGUAGAAUUAUAUAAUUAUUAUUAUUAUUGUUAUUCCAUUAUGUGUUGAUUCAUCUUCUUUUUGCUUUCUCUCUUAUUUGGUAUCUCGAAAUUAUCCUCUGCAUAAAGAUUGAAUGAUCUACGACAACGAUGAUAUGAGCGUGUUCGAUGUCGGCGUAGAAACAAAAAUUGGGGGUUCAACUGCGGUGUAGAUGCAUAAAUUAGAUAUUGAUGAGAAAAGCUAUUUCCAAAUGUUGUUGGGGUUAUGUAGAUGAUAACAAAUUAUUCAAAUUUAACAAUAGUAUUGUAUUGACUUAUUUGCGUAACAACUAACAAUUGAGUUUUGCGUUGUAAUUUGAUUUGUAAAUCACAUGAUUUUAAUGACAAUGUUUUUCCUUAACCGGCUGCAUGUGUUGUCUUGCGUUCCCCAAUAAGUUAAUUUACUUUGCAUAUUUUACUAUAAAGACAUGUAACCUUAAGGAAAAAAAAUACUCACUUGCAUUGUUAUUCAUUCCACACAACAUUCUGCUAGAUCUUAAUAUGGCCAACUUUCAAAUCUUCAUUGUGACAAUCAAUAGGGUAGAGGUUAAUAGGGUAGAGGUUGCCGAUGCACUGCUCUCCCUAAAAGGUUUCUAGAAUAUUGUCUUCCAUUUGUGUUUUGUGAGAAAUUCAUGAUUACAAUUUUUGUUUUAACAUUUUACUUUUCAUAUGAUAAUAAUGAAUUCAAUAUUGGUUGUAAAAUAUAAUGAUAUUAUGGUAUGACAAACCCGCGCGAUAGCGCGGGUUGAGAGUCCAGUCAUAGAAACUUAGAAUGUGUAAGUGCAAAUGAGAUUAUGUUUAAUUUUGCACAUCUGUAGUUACAACCUUAUCAAUAAGACAAUUGAUUUAUGUGUCAUGUGAAUUACUCAACCUCUGCAAUAAGUCGAUCGAAAAAAUACAAUCUGAUGAAGAAAAAAAAGUUUGUCAGAUUGUAUCUCUCAAUAAAUUUUGUGUGAUCGGGAGUUACAAUUUGAUUUGAAUAAAACUAAAGAGUCCGUGUAGCAAUCACCUAUCCAAAAUUGCUCUUCUCCCUUUUGUUUAUGCUCAAUCCCUUAAUUCAGUGUGAUUUAACUCACCCUAACACUUUUAAAAUUGGUUUAAUCACUUUUUAAGCCGAGAUUCAAUCAUUUUCACAACAUUGUCGAGGAGAUUGUGCUUAACAUAAAAAUGUCCAUCAACCUUCUUUACAAUAACGUACAUGGCAAUAUCAACAACAACAUCAUCCUUAUUAACUUGAACAAGCAUUUUGUCUAUCCCAUCAAUCAAUUUUAUUCCAAAGCUUAAAAUGUUUGGUAUCAUAUCCCCAACCAGCCACAUUACCAACAAUAUCCGAUAACCCUCAAUUGUUAUAAUCAAUUACAGGCACAACAAUCUGGACAUCACCUCUAUAAAACAUGCAAUCAUCCUUAACAAACUCUCCCCGAUAAUGGAGAACAACAUCAAAGAGACUUAUUUUAUGUGACAAAAAAAUAAAAAAUGAUUAUCAAGUGUGACAUGUGUCAUCAUCUCCUCUGUUUCAACCCCACAUAGUCAAUAGUAAAUUAACAACAUUACACAAGUCGGAAUAAUUAAAUAAACACUAAAAAUCUAACUCUUGCACAUGGAUAUCACGCCGCCACUUUUAAGAUCGGUUGAAUUUAGGUGUUUAGAUGUAGGGUCUUAUGAAGAAGGACAUGGCCAUAGGUAUAUUUGGUUUAAAUCUAAAGUUUUGUAUUCUAUAUGAGAGCCUGUAAGUAUUACAUUUAUGUUUCUAUUUAUAUCGUAUGUAUAAAUAAUAUUAUCAGAAAAAUGCUUGAUGGUACGACAACUUUUGUCGCACCAAUUGCUCAAAUUCCUCAAUUCUCAAUUUUCUCUCUUUUUAAAGUCCAAUUUCAGUCAUAUCACUCUUUCAAAUUCUCCAUUUAACUUAAAUACCAAUUUAGGCCUUAGCACUUCAACGUUUUUGUUUUGGUUACGACACUUGCCUUUGAUAGAAGAAAAAUGGAAUCGCUAAAUAGUCAUGCAUGAUAUGACAUAAAAUGAGCACCCUCAUGGUGUGGCUUUGUUGUCUUUACGCUACAAGAUUUUCAAAGGAACCUAGUUUGAUAUCAUUCUAGGCUAUUAUUUUAUUUAUUGUGGCAGAAGCACCGCUACAAACUAGCAUUGAUAGAGAAUAUUUUGUAGUAAUCCAUUACAAAGUCAAUGCAAUUCAUAUUGUGAAAAAAUAAUAUUUUGUAGUAAUCCAUUAACAUUUGUAAAAAAAACAUUUGUAUUCGAUAUAUCAAAAAUUUAAAUUUAGUUUGUCAAAAAAAAAAAUUUAAUUUAAUUCAUCAAUAUUUUAUUAAUAUUUCUCAUUUAUUUCUUUUUGCAGUGACAUUUGGAGCCAUCAAAAGAUGUUGAAUAAAUUGUUGAUGAUACUUUAUUGAUAGUAAUCCCUCCGUUUUAAAAUGAAUGUCGUUUUAGUCAAUUGCAUAUAAAUUAAGGAAUUGAAUAAAGUAGUCAAAUAUCAUAAUAAUUUUACCAAAUUAUCCUAAUCAACUAUUGGUUUGUUUUUCAUUAAAGAAAAAAAUAACACUUUGGAAGUAGUGUAACAUAGUAUUAAUUGAAGGGUACAAUUGAAAAGAAAAAGUUAUUAUGACUUUUUUGUUAAAACGACACUUAUUUUAAAACGGAUGGAGUAUUUGUUUUUAUGACUUUUACGUGGUUAUUUGAUGAUUAUUACUUAGUAAGACACUUACUAUUUAAAUUAUGGGUUAUGCUAGUGCACUUUAAAGAAACCAAAAUUAUUAUGUUUGUAUUGGAUUCAACAACAUUUUGACUUUUAAAAAGUUAAAUUCAUCACUUUUUACUAUUUUUGAACACAAAAUUUAUAUUUGUAUCCUCUUAAUCAAUGCAUCAAGGGCAUUCUUUAGCAUUUUUCUUAAAUUAUCUAUGAAUUAGAUUAUAUAUUAAGAGUCUUGAUGAUGAAUGUCCUUGAAACACUCUUUAAACAUUUUAAAUUAAAUAAUUAUUCUUUAAAAAUGUAAAGUUUUUAAUUUUUAAUGUACUGAUUAAUUACACAAACUUUCGUAAAAAAACUAUCGUCCAGGUUAGCCUAUCUAUGACUAUGUAUUAUUAGGGUUUUUCGAGUGCACUGAUUUCCCUUUUUUUAAUUUUUUGGUACAAGAUUUCCCAUAUCUCAAAACAAAUAAUCAAACAUUAAGUUGUUUAGUUCAUGAUGCCCUUCAUGACGACGUGGAGGGUCAAAGUAAAAAGAAGAAGGAGCACUACUAAAGAAGGAAGAAACUUUGCACAUCACAAGAAGCUCGUGUAAUUCUGUUUUAGUUUCCUCGAAAGAAAGGACGUAUGUUUAAUGAUUUGGGUGGGAUGAAAGAGACAUUUAAGAAACUGAAGAUGAUUUUUGCACCAAAUAGGUACCUUUGGUUCCUCAUCUCUUUUCCCUGCUUAGUUAUUUUACUUCAUAUCAUGUUGUGCAUUCAAUCAAUUUCUCUUACGACAUGUAUGGUAGAUUUGGUAAACUUCAUUAUGUUUCUCUUCCAAGCCCGGACGAGGACGACCGUGUUAAAAUAUUGAAAACUCUUGCAAAGGGUAGACAUAUUGAUGCCAGCGUGGAUUUGAGUGUGUCAUUGCAAGAAUGGAAGAUUGUGAAAACUUUAGUGGCGCGGAUCUUGCUGCAUUGGUAUGUUUCUACUCUAUUUUAGUUUGUAUCGACUCCCUAUGUUCGGUUCCAUUCAAGAUGGAAGAAGCAGGGUUGGCUGCUAUCAUUGAGAAGCAGACCUCAACGGAGAAAACUAGUGGCACCAUCAAGACAUGUUAUUUUGAGGUAGCAUUGAGUAAAGUCUCUCCGUCUGUGUCGAAAAUGGUACGGAUCUGAUACCUUUUUGCAGAUAAAUUAGUUUUAGAAAUUUAUAUCGAAAUUUAUAUUGAUUUUUGGAGCAGCAAAUAGAGAACUACGAGCGUUUUUCAAAAGGCUUAAAGCAGCAGUAUGAGAAGCAGCACCAUCAUAGCAAUGAUUUAUGUUGUUCUUUAACUGUGUGAUUAUAAUGCAUUGAAUUGAAGAGAAAAUGUGAAGGAAACCAUUGCCUAUUUUUAGUGAAUUAAAAAGUUUUGUAUUUACUUUUUUAUGAGAAGUAUCUUGUAGUGCUUUAUUCCAUUCCAUUUCGCUACUUAUUCACAUUUUGGACGGAAUGGGGUGGAAUGGAACAUUGUCGUUAUAAGUUGAGUAAGAAACCAUACUCUGAACUUUUUUACAAUAUCGUUAUAUAAGUAUGUUCCUGCAAUUAAUUUGGUUUUUGGUACUAUAUUUGUGAUGUUGAACCACUAACAUGAAGAUCAGUUUAUUUGUUAAAUAUUUUUAUCUCAAUAUUUUACAUACUUAAUGGUGCAUCUCUUACAUAAAUUGGGUAAGGUGGAUGAUGCACUAGUUAUGUUGGAGGGAGUUGAAAUCUAUGCAUAUCAAUUUAGAUAUCAAAACACUACACAACAUUUAUUAGCAGUUACUAUCUUCAUGGUAAUCGCGUUCAAAGGAUUUAAACCUGAUGUUGGUGCUUAGAAUGUACUAGCUAGACGUCUGAUUAUUUAGAAAUCAUCUUGAUUGUAAGGAGACACUUGAUGCAGAAGAAGAAAAAAGGGUUUCUCUAUUUCUCUACACCGACUCAUAUCAUAAGUUACCACUUGAAAGAAUUUUCCAUCUUCAUGGAAUUUUUUCCGUCGACCAUGGCUCUUGAUGUCUCAACAUUAGAUCUACCCCGUUUCUAUACAUCAUUUUGGUAAAGUUCAAGACUACAAGUAAUGUUGUUCAAGACUAUGAGUCACCACCUUAGUAUAUUCGAAAACAUGAUCACUGUGCAAUAGUUCAAGUUUACAGAUCUUAUGUUUGAUUACUUUACUACUCGAUGAAAUGGCUUUAAUAAAAUCUAGUGGGGGAUUAAAAAUUAGGAGUAUUAAAAAAAAUUGUUGAAAUUAUAACAUGAUUUCUUCUUUAUAUAGAUAGAUAUAGGAUCUAUGGAAAAAUUACUUAGAAAUAGAUUUUGUGAAACAGUCCUUCCUAUCUGAUAGAAAAGUAUACCAUGAUCCUCAACCGAUCUUAUCUGAGAUCUAAAAUCCCAACAAAUUUGUAUGAAAUAUAUGCAAAUUUUAAAUUAGGAUUCCAUAACUUUGAUAGAGUCUCCAUCUUUGAAUUGUCUUUCUCUCAAUUAAGAUGAUAGGGACUUGCAAACCACAAUUUUUACAUCUCUAUAAUUUGUAAUAUCGCGGAAUAAAAUGUAUUUACGUUUUUCAAUGGUAAAUAUGAUCAUUUUUCUAAAAAAAUCAUUAUUGCAUGUGAAAUUUGGGAUAUGGACCCUUUUUUUUAGGGUCCACCCAUGGUCCUUGCUAAAUGACUUGUAAUAGUGGGUAAACACACUUCUCAAUUUACAUGGAUGGCCUCCAUAUGAAUCUUUAAUGCGAGUGAGCUUUUGCAAUCAAAACAAGCUAAUCAUCUAAUUCACAACAAGCUCAAUCUUUGAGUUUUUAACAAAGAGGUUGAAGCAUUAUGUGGUUGUUACAUUCUGUGUGGAAGUUGUUCUUCAUGUUAGACUUGAAACGGAUGGCAAAAUAACAGAAAGGUGAAUUGUACCAAAUUUAUACUGGAGUGGAAGUGUAAUUACCCGCUAUUGCAGGUCAUUUACAAAGGACUAUGGGUAGACCCUAAAAAUAAGGGUCCAUAUUAGGGGCUCCCGUGUGAAAUUUUAUUGAUAAUCUUUAAAAUUAGUGACAAAAAUUUAUUUAUAAAAAAUCUUAUAAUCAGAUACAGAGGGAGAGUAUAUCAACAAAAAACCUAUCUCACACCCUUUUAAAAAAGUAAAUAAUCUCUUUUAAUUUCCUUAAAAUAAGUAAUUGCAUUCUUCACGUGAAUUGGUUCAUGCAGAAUAAAUAAAAGAGUUAUUAAAAAAUAAAAUCUAAUUAAUUGUAGAAAUAGAAUACUUUAAGAAUAAUAUAGUUAGAGAGAUUAAUUAGAAUUUGCUUAUAUUUUGAACGACUAAACCUAAAAAAAACUCUUGAAAAUAAUUUUUUUGUUACUUAUACUUAAAUGAGAAUAUGAGAUGAAGUAUAUAUCUUUAAUAUAAUUUUUCUCGAAUAACAGUUUGAUUGGGAUUAUCUGAGGAGCAUAAUGGGGAAGAUGGGUUUCUGCACUAAAUGGUCAGAGUGGAUUAUGAUGUACGUAGAGUCGAUUGACUACUUUAUUUUAUUAAAUGGUGAGAGAAUUGGUCCAAUUGUUCUAGGGCGCGGCCUCAGGCAAUGAGAUCUGUUAUCACCUUGCAUUUUCAUAAUCUACGUUGAAGGGCUCUCCUCACUCAUUCGUCAAGCGGAAGGCAGCGGUACCAUAAGUGGAGCGAUUUGUAAGAAUUAUAUCUCAUCUCAUGUUUGCGGACGAUUGUUUCCUUUUCUUUAAAGCUAAAAGUGGUCAAGCUUAGACUAUGAAAAAUAUACUAGAAAUGUGUGAAAGUGCUUCUGGUCAGUCUAUAAACUUUUAGAAGUCUGAAGUUUUCCAUAGCAAGAAUGUGGAUGAUGCUGUCAAGGCUUCCAUAUCUCAAAUUUUAAGAAUAAUAUAGUUAGAGAGAUUAAUUAGAUAGAAUUUGCUUAUAUUUUGAACGACUAAACCUAAAAAAAAACUCGAAAAUAACUAUUUUGUUACUUAUACUUAAAUGAGAAUAUGAGAUGAAGUAUAUAUCUUUAAUAUAAUUUUCCUCGAAUAACAGUUUGUUCCAUGCCACAAAAUACAUUGGAUGACAUGUGGAAAAUGAUAUGAAAUCAACUGUAAAUUUUCUUUUUAAGAAAAUGUCAUACAGAUUUUUGUUUUUAGUUAUAAACCCAAACUAUUUUUUUUUCUUUCAAAUUACGUUGUGCGUUUAAAAUAUUUCAGACAUUGUAAUUCAUUUCAAAAUAUAUUAUACCAACCACUAGAAUCUAAAAACAUUGGGUGUGAGGAAACUAUGGAUGGUCUAGGGUGGACAAUCAUUUUUAACUGUUAGAUCUAGGUGCCUUCACAGGAUUGCAAGUGCAAGGUUAAUAAUGUAGUCUCCUUCCUAACUCAAAUAAGGACAUAACAUAAAUUUUGAAGACUCCAACAUAGAAAAAGAAAUUAUUAUUAUCACCAAAUAAAAGCAACAAACACAGCUGUGUCCCAAUUUCAUCACAAGUGAGAAAGAGAUACUAAAAAUCAAACCAUUUACAUAAACAUGAAUCUAUUCGAGCUUCUUUCCUUUGGGGAUUUUGCUAAGCAAACCAGAAUCCACCUUCCUAUACUGGUUUUGCAUCUGAUCAAGUACCUUGUACACGAAGUUAUCAAUCUGAUCGUCAUACUUUUCGUAGAGAACUGGGAGUGUAUGUGCAGCAACAAAACCUUAGGAUAUAACAGAACAAAGUAUUAGCAGCAAUCAAGUAUGAACAAAAAAAAUCGACCGUAAUAUAACAAAGUUUUGGCAAUCAAGCUGUAUUACCACGAAACACAUAACAAGGUGAGUGUAUUGUGUUAUACCUCACACAGAGAUAAAUGUAUAUUUCAGCAAACUCAGUUAAUUGGAUUACUAAUUUCACAAUUCGCAAACAUUCUAAAAGUUCUUUCUUUCAAAAAUUCUCUCUUUGUUUGGCUUUUCUUUCAUUUUUCAUACCGAUGAAAUACUAUUUCAACAGUUUCAACUAAUUCACUUAUUUAGGGAUAAUAUUUUAAGGAUAAUUGAAGUGUAAAAUAUACUUUGCAAACUUGAACCAACUUAAUAAUUGGAGAAAACAUCGUGGCCAACACAUUGUAUCAACAGAAAAGGAGGAAGAUCUCUCACCGAUAUACACGACAGUAAAAAAAUUGAACCAGUUCCCAAUCACAGCACCAGCCCAUAAGCAUACUACAACCUGCAGAUGUUUUAAGCAUUAUCACAAAUUCCCAAUCACUACCUCCAUCCUUAAAUAUAAGAUCAUAUUGCCUAAAUCACAUGAAUUAAAAAAAUUGGUAGAAAUAUUAAAUUUGUUGACAAUUGAAAUUGUUUUACUUUAUGUUUCCAUCAUUACAAGUAGCAGAACAAGAUACAACAUAAUUAGAGAUAUGUUGGCAUAGAAAUAAUUGAUGUAGUUGAAAAUUUGAAAGGGGCCUUCCAAAAAAGGACAAUGAAAAAUCUCAAGAGGGUCCUAUAUUUGGGGACGGAGGUAGUAUGUUUUAAGCAUAAAUAUGGAUUAUAAAUGACAAAACAAAGGCAACAAAACAUCGAGUAAACAUACAAUAACAAAUUGCUUCAAGUUUCCUCCGCAUGAAACAUUUUGAAGAAACCUUAAACCACGGUUAACCUCAGCACCAACCGCAGUUGCAAUGUUAACAAAGAAAUCUUUUGGGAGAACCAAACGAGGAGCUUUCGAUGGCUUCCUGUCACUAUGGAAAGAAAAAAACAUUAAUAAAGCUGAGUAGUACCAUACAUUUAGAUAAAAAUAAAAUAGGCAACAGAAGAAGAAAUUCAAGGAUGAUUGAAUAACCUGCUAAACACGCCAGAAGCAUUUGUCCAAAGAAACUGUACAGACAUGACAAGAACAAGAGCAAGGCAUAGAAGAGAUAGGAAAUUAUAAUUAAGCCAUUCAAAAAGCAGCCAUAUAGUUGUUGCAGCGGUUAAAACAGCAGCAGAGAUCUUCUUGUCCCUCCAUAACAAGACAUCAGCAGCUACGUCAUUCAAAGUAUAAAAAAGAGAACAGAUUUAAAAGCUGAAGCCAAUAUGAUAGAUUUUACAGGAAAUUCACUAGAAUUGUCAUUGACAUACAUUUUCCACCACCUAAAAUAUGGUGCACAGGUUUCUCGCGUCCAAACAGUUUAUUGAACUGGGAGGUCAUUGAGUUUGCCUUCACUUCUACAUGGAAUGAACCAGAUUUUUGCUUCUCAAGUGUUUCCACGAGGGUGUUCAGAAGCUUUUCAGCGGUAAAAUUCUCCGACAUUGUUUCUGUAAAAUCUAACAAUAAAAAGAACAUCAUAAGCAUUGUAUGUAAUGUUACCAUCAUGCCUAACACCGUUGCAAACAUCAAUCACUAAUCAUGGAAAAAAUCAACAAACAUGAAGUGGCAAAAGUAUCAUCUGAAUUACAUAAUGGUAUACCAUAUUUCUCAAUGAUACCCUCAACUAGAGCCUAUAAGGCUUUCAAUUGUUGACUUAUUCAACAUAAACCCACUUGAACUAACGAGACAUCAAACUUAAACAUGACGACUUGUGACUUUUGUAAUUGGUUUCACAAAAAAUGUCUUCAAAGUUCAAAUGACAACUCAACAGUAGAAGCAAACGAAGUCUAACUUUUAGCAAAGCUCGGUCCAUUAUGAUUAAGUCAACACAGUCACACACCACAGGCCGGUCUAUAUGAUAAGAGAGAAUAAAGCAACAGGUGAGCCACAGAUUCCUGCACUUAACUGGACUGUGCAGAAACUUAAACAAAUCUACAUGCGUAAUUGAUAUUAAAAGUUAAAACUUUACUUUCAUGACACUAAUUCUUUCAUGUUAUAUACGAUGUCCAUUUCACAAACCAAAAAGUUCAAGACAGCAUUCCCACUCAAGGUUUUAAAAAACGAUCUGCAACCGCAAUUGUGGCCGCAACAUCAAGGUUUUUAAGCCUCUACAACCACAUUCAGGCUGCAUUGACUAUAUUUAACCACGAUUUUCUUCAAUUUCAAAAAUCACAGACACAAAUGCUAUUCAAACCGUGUUCCCAUCUAUGAAGCACGGGUAUAGCCACAGACACCAGACACGACACACACAGACACGUCAACUCCGAUAAUAAUUUGAAAAAUUGACAUAAUUCAAUGUAAUGAUGUGCCGGUGUCCAUGUCAGACACCGGGACACGCCUAAUCCAAGGAGUGUCUCUACUUCAUAGGUUCCCAUUUGCUUUUCAUUUGUGCUAAAAAGAUAAUGGAAAGCAAAUUUAACCAUGGAAAAACACUUUGGCAGGUCAAACAUCCCAUGUCCUUGCAUUUAUUUCUAGACUUUAAGAAAUCACAAAACACUUUAAAGUCAAAAAGUAAAAAUAAAAUAAAAUAUGAUCUCUAAUUUUCUAGUCUAAAAGCAAAGUUGAAGAACCAGGAUCAUAACUAGAAAAAGAUAAUAUUUUUUAUAAAAAAAUUGGAUUUUGAAAGCAGAAAAGCAAAAGGGUCACCACAAAAUUCUCUUUUUAUCUCUUAUGAAUCACAAUUCAGAGGCAUAAAGGAAGUGCAUUUUACAUAUAAAUGAUACAAUGACAUGGAUCAAUAAACAAAACAAAAAAACCAUAGUCAAUUCCCUUCUCACAACCACAUUCAAACAGUUUUUCAGAUAAUUCAAUAAUUGACACUGUAGAGCAACAAAAAUCAAAAAGUGAUAAUAAUUGAAGACAUGAACAAAAUGAGACAGUACUUACAGUAAAAAAACAUGAAUAGAUUGAAAAGGAUUAAAUAAAAUGGAAUGAAAGAGAUGAAAAAAUGGGUUUGAGGAUCGAACCAGAAUGAACAGGAGGAAGAAGCCAAACAGCAAUGAAGUGAAAAGUUACGGAGAAGAAGCUAAGAUAAUUCAGAAAAGAGUGUGGUAGAGUACAUAGAAAAAGAGUACUUUUUUAUAGGAAAAAAAACUACUUUUUUUACCUCAAAAUGAAUUUUAAUGAUUUAUUAAUGUCUUUCUUCAAUUGGAAAAGGUAUUAAUGUAUGAUUAAUGGAUUUGAUUAAAUGAAUAAAAAAUGAUUAGUAGUAAGAAUGUUCAAAACCAAACAAUUAUAUUCAUAUCUUCUUAUCUUCUUAUAUAUUAAAGUUAACAAGUAAGCUUAUUGUUGCCCUAAUUUUAACCUAACCCUAAUGCCUUAAUUUUACCGUUUUAACCCUAGCUCACACCUAAUCUUCUCACACAUCUCUCCCUUUUCUCUCACACCCGAUCAACUCCACUCAGAUUUUUCCAAUCAGUCUAAACCUAACCCCCAAAAUUUUCAUCUCCCACUCAAUCCUAUCGCUUCUUGCUUCCGUCUCCGCCGUCAUCUCUAUCGCUUCCAUCUCCGACGUCAUCUCUAUCGCUUCUUGCUUCCGUCUCCGCCGUCAUCUCUAUCGCUUCCAUCUCCGACGUCAUCUCUAUCGCUUCCAUCUCCGUCGAGUUCAGUUUCCGCUGUCAUUCUACUCCAUCGAUCUCCACCGUUUUACUCCUCCGACGUCUCCUCCAUCACGGAUCUGAACUUUUAACGAACACUUCCUGUAUCAGCCGCCACUUUGUCUCCUCCGGCAACGAGGUUCUUCUCAUAGGUUCAUCUCUCUAUCUCUCUAAUUUCUUAUGCAAUCACUAAUUUGCCUUUUGAUUUUGUGUUUUAUCAUCAUAAAUUUGUGUUUUCAUGAAAGGAAAGCUACGAAAAUGUUUAUUAUAUAUAUAUUGUGCUGUUUUGUAUAAAUGUUGCUAUAUGAAAAUUGACAGAUAGUUGUUUGCAUAAACUACUUGAAGGUAUGGAAAAAUAAGCCUUAGAAAUUUGUAUGUAUUUAAUUUAUUUUCUCUGUGUGUAUUUGCUAAAUUUCUAGGUAAUCAACAUCAAACCCUUCAGCAAUUAAUGGUGACUAUAAAGUAUACUCAAAUUGCUAAGAUUUUAGGAGCUGUAAAACCAUUUGAGAGUUGGUUCUUGAUAACAACCAUGAACCAUUUUAUGUGUUCUAAUGUGGAGAGCAGAAUAUUGAAUAGCUUCAUCAUGGUGAGUUUUGUUUAGUUGUAGUUUAUGCAAUAAGCUUCAUUCAAUUGAUUUUAUGCCCAUUUGGUAACCUAAACCUGUAAGCCCUGAUUAUAUCUUGCUCAUUUGAAUAUAUGCUCAUUUGAUGAUUGAAUGACAGAUGCAGAAACAGGGGAAGUGUGAUUUCUUACCGAGGGAUAAUCAUAUUUACUCUUUAAAUCUAUAAAGUAAGUCAAAUGCGAAAUUAAAACAUUAAAUUAUGUUUAAAGUAUUUGUUGUUAUUCUCUUUCUUUUGUUACGGCGAUUUCUACUUGAAGGCUACAAUAUCAAAUACCUAUUUUUAAGUGAUGACAGUAAGGCAUUUUCUUCAUUUCAUUAAUGAUCUGAGGUCUGGUCUGCACUUUUCUUUAUUGCAGUGUUUUAAAUUACAGUGAUACAUAUCCUAACAUUAAUAUGCUUUCAAUUCUCGGAAACUUUGAUGCAGCAGCAGCAUCGUAAUGAAGGAGAUGUUAGUGAGGGGUGUUGGUUGACUUGAUUUCUUGGACUCAAAAUCUGACGGAUUGAAGACGGUGGUGAAAGGGUGACUGUUCGAUGUAGAAAAUCAGUAUGUGGGUUGCGAAUGUUGUGUUCAUUAUUUUCUCAAAGGAUUUACAUGUAAGGAGUUACUUUUAACCUACUUUUAACCUUUUUUUUUUUUUUUAAGUAUAUGAUUCAUGAACUUUGUUUUAAUUACAUCAGAUUUCUUGAACCAUUUAUGUUUUUGAAAUUUCUAAUUAGCCCGUCACCCUACAAAGAGAAAGCUUUCUUUCUGUGUUUGUAUUUUAUUAACCAAAAAUUGAGCUCUAUAGUUGUUUGGAAUCUGAUUGUAGUGGAUUUUCCGAUGUUUGUGUGCAAGAGAACUAUUUUUUUUUUUUGGUACAAGAGAACUAUCUUUUUAGUUGAAUGUGAAAUGAAAUUUAUAAUGAAAAGUUGGUCGAGAAAAUAAUGAAUCAAUACAUUAAACUGUUCAUUUGUUUAAAUGUUAACAAGCUUCUCACUUCAGCUCCCAUUCAUUUAUGUCAAAACCCAUAUCAGUUGUUUCACUCUGAUUGCCAUUCGAUUACAAGUGCUGAAUCGCUCUUGCACUGCAUUGUUUGAAGGUUAUCUUAAUUAGUAAUGCUUAUUUUAGUUUAAUGAUAUCUCCGUAUUACUACCAUGCUAACUGAUGCGAUAUUUUUUUUAAUGCACAACUCCAUUGGAUCAAAAUCCGUUCACUGAUCUCGAUAAAUAUGUAAACGAACUCAGGGUGAAAUGUCGAACAUACGCCAUUGGUUUUCAUGUUAAUGAUGUGUGUGUGUACUUUCUUUCUCUUUGAUCUUUCAUUAUAUUUUUGUUCUUUUUUAAUGAUGCUAACAUUUCACUGUCAUAUAGGAUGUUGUGUUAUUGCCUCCUUUGUUGGUUGCUGAUUUUGGUAAUGAUAUCAAUCACUAUGCAACAUUGAUUGAUCCAUGUAACAAUCAAUUUGAUGUUGCGGUUGAAAAAGGAAAAGGUAGUAUAUAUGCUAAACCUAAGGAUUGUUCGCUUUGCGUGAUUUCUAUGAUAUCCGUUUCGGUGCUUGGAUCACUAUGGUAUAUGUUGGGUUGGGUCAGUUUGGAAUAACCAUCUGUCAACUCCCAUUUUUUAUUAUAACUUUUAUAGACAAACUUACUUAUUAUUUCUAUUUUUUCUUGAUUGAUAGAAGUUGGUCUACAAUGGUUUUUGUGAAUCUGCACUGGAUAAAAGGACCACGGCUUUGGUUUUGAUAGACGAUUGUGGCAACAAGUGGAACUGCACUCUUUUUUUAGGAUCUAUAUCGUACUGUCACAGGAAAAUUGCUGGUGAGUGGAAAAAGAUGAUAGCUGCGCACAGAAUUUGUGAAGUUGCACAAAUCAAGUCGGGUGCUCUGAUGGUUGGCAAAAAUGAAAUUGUUUACCUUGAAUUCAUCCCAAUUUUAUGUCUCUGCAUGCUACUGUUUUGUGUGCAGGUGACUUUUCAAGGUGAAUCUAUUGCAUUGUUCUUCCCUUUUUUGUUUUUAUUUUAUUUUCUUAUACCUUUUGUUCUUCUUAAAUUUUGUCACUACCUAUUAAUUUUAUAUUUAUGGAAUCAGUGGAAAAUUUAUUUACUUUACUUUCAUUCAUCUUAUAUUUUAGGAUGACUUGAAAUAUACGUAUGUGGUUAUGUACUUCAACUCAAUUGCCUUUCUUAGGGUCUUAUGCAAUUUACACUCAUCACCAAAUUUAUCAAUUAUGUAUAUUGACUAUGAAUUCAAAAAAAUGAAAUAAAUGGAGCACUUGAUUUAUUUAUCAUUGUUAUUGAAAGCAAUACAAUAACUAUAAAAUAGUGUCAUAACAGAGAGUGAAGUAGUAUAUAGUAGUGAUUUUAAAAUUAGUAUUGAAAAGUAUAGCAUUGCAUUUAGAAAGUUGUAUUCUUAUGUGUAAUAUUAAAAAGUAAAGUUGUUUUUAUAGGUAAAAUAUAUGAUCUGAAUAUUUAGCUUAUGAAUAUUGUUUUGGCAGAAAUGAUUUCAUUUUUUUCAAAGUUGGUUGUGCCGGCACUAUCUAGGUAUGUAGUUUCAAUCAAAAUUGUGAUGGCUGAAGGAUUUUUUUUUUUCUCUAAACGGAUGGAUAUAUGGUUUGACCAUGGUCUUUCAUUCACUUAUAAACUUAUGUCUGGUUUAUAAAAGCCAUUCUCACUCUUUCUUUCUAAGUGUGUUAAAGUUUAAUUAUUUAGUAUGUAUUGAUUUUCUGUUUCUCCUCAGAUGAAACUUAAAUUUUCAUUGAACUUGCAGUAAUGAAUUGAUGAAUAUAUCUCAAAUUGCACAGGUUAAAUAUUUUUCAGCUUGACUAAAACAAACCCUUUUCAUGUGCUCAUUUUAAGACAUAUUUCCUAUGAACUUAUGAAAGAGGAGGGUUGACUAAGUAUUUCUCUAGAAAAAAGUGAUUGUGGGUAGUAGUCAUGAUUUUUGAAGAACUUAUGACAUUUAGUGUUCUCUCCAUUUGAUGAUGGCCACCAACAAUGGUCUAAAUUUUUACUCAUUAUAACCUAUUAGUCAUAAAUAGCAAUUGCUCAUGGGCACAAUUCAGGGAACUAAGCUUUGAAGUUUUCAUGAAUAUUGGUGUUGUUUUUGUGUGUUUAGUCUCUUUUUCUUUUUUGUCCUAUUAACUAUUUAGAAAUAAUGUUAGUUUUAUGCAACAGGACUAUGUGAAGUAAACAUGAAGAAUAGAGCAAAUACAAGAAGAAUUUCUUUCGGAAAAUUUGUCCUACUGUAUAGAACUUCCUAAUUAUUAAUUUCAGCAUUAAGAGCUCUCCUUAUAAUGAUUUAUUGUUGUCAGUCUCCUUACCUAAUGUUUUUAUUGUUGUAGGCUUAUUAAUUUACAUAUCCAGCAGGUGCUAACAACUUCAAAUAGGCACCAUGGUUGUUAGUAUAAUUAAAGGAUGGAUUUAAGGUGUUUCAAGCUUGGAGAAAUACUUUUCUUAGGAGUAGUGGUUUAUGAUGAUUGACUGUGGAGUAACUUUGAGAGUAGAAUUAGGAACUGAGCAGACAAAAAAAACCAUCAUUAAAGUUAGAAGUCCAUAAUUUGUCUCUCAAAGUUACGAUUUUUCUAACACAGUCAAACUAUAUAUCAAAAGUAAAACUUUCCAGGCUCACAGGCAGAACGGAAAGUAGAAGAUAAAAAACCAAAGCAUCAUGACAACAAUAGUGCCUAUUUGAUCUUUUGUUAGCAACCAUGCUUUAUGCAAAGGUGCAGGGCACAUGUAAAAGUGACGUUGCAUAAAAAUGACAAUGAGAAACAGUUCAACAAGCCUUUGAUAUCAUGAGUGAAAAAUGCGGUUGAAGUUUGAUCAAAGUUCCAAGAGUGUGGCAGCAGAUUUUGUCCUAAGAGAUAGAUUGUAUUAGUGAUAAUGUUUGGCAAUUGACAAGUGGUAUUAGAAACUCAAGAAAUGAGCUGAUAGAAGUAGUCAAGGAUUGUGUGUAGUGCUGCUAAAUUUGAGAGUUUGUAUGGCUAAAAUAUGUAAUUUAUACAUUGAGAAUAAGAAACAGAAAAAUUGUACUUGAUAUAAAUAAAUUUAGUGAGGCUCGAUCGUUUUUCUUUAUCUUCUGAUCAAUAAUAGUCUUUUCUCUUAAAUAUCUUAGUAAGUAUUUUGUUUGGUUGUAACUAAAGUAUUUGUUUUGAUUCAAAUUAUUAUUAUCAUGUCAUUGAACAUGAGUUUUUAUUAUGUUGUUUAUUGUUUAUUCUUUACGUAAUUUUGGCCUAUAAAUAAUAAUCUUUGGUUUUUCGACUUCUUUUGUCAUUUCAUCAUCUUACUCUAUUCACAGAGAUUUAUAAUAAUGAGAGACAAUAUUAUAUAAUGCAAUGUUCAUUUUUUUUUUUAAAUUGUUAACGAAUGUUUUUCAUCUCAUAAAACCCGUGCGGCGCACGGGUUAGUAAUCUAGUGCUUAAUAAACUUUACCCAAAAACAAAAUCGAAAGAACACCACGAAUUUGAAUUUUUGGUGAAACUAUUCUUGAUCAGGUUGUAUUUACCUUACGACGAAACUUUAAAUUACUAGUUAAAAUCGAAUGGUUAACACCAAAACAAUCAACCAAUCUUAAUUAUAAUCGCAAAUUGAAUAAAAAGAUUGAAAAAUUACAUAAAAAAUAAGAUCGUACUCUUUUCUUUCAAAUAGAAUCAUACCUUUUAUUGAUUUUUUUUAAGGGACUUGAAAAUCGAACAAACUGUAAACAUAUAUUUUAAUACUUAUUUUUUGUAAGUAUGAUAAUGCAUUAAUUUAUUAUUUGUUGGAUUUUAAUUUUUAUACUACUUUUUAAUUUAAUUUAAUCUUUUUUAAUAUUUCACAUGUUUUUAGAUAUCAAGCGGGCUAAAUUGAACCAGAUUCGAUUGAGUUUUUUAACUUAAUCACCAAAAACUAAAUUAAAUCGUGUAUAAUUUUAUCUUUAAAUCAGAUAAAUUUUAAUCCGUAAAAUCAAUAUAAACCUCACCUCAAAUAACUCUAACUAAGUAAUAAAUAUCUCUUUUUUGGUUGCAAGGAAACACAAUUUUUUUUUAUAGAAAAAAAAAACAGCUUUUAGUGCAAAAAUUACUAUGUUCCAUAUUUGCUCUUUUAUUUAUCGGCUUAAUUGAUCUGACGGUCCUUUAACUUAUUUCUUUUAUUCAAUUUGGUUCCAUAACUCUUAACUUUCUCAAACACGUCCUUUAACUUAUUUCUUUUACUCAAUUUGGUUCAAUUUUUAUAAUUUUAAUCCCCUAAAAAAAGUGACCGUUUGAUUACGGAGGUCUAUUAGAUUUUAUCGUGGAUCACCAACACCUAAUUUAUUUACUUUCUUCUUCUUCAUCACUAAACCCAGCAAAUUUAAUCAUCUUCAUCAUAAAAAUCCAGAAGAAAAAAAAUAAUAAACAUUUCCUUCAUCUUCUUCUCAAAUCUUCAUCUUCUUACAACAUUCAUCAAUCUUCAUCUUCUUCAUAAAAAAUCUAAUUUUUUUUCUUUCAAAAAUUACCAUUUCAACUUCAACAAAAACCACAUAAUUAAACACUUACUUAAAUCUAGAAUUAACAUCACCACCAUCAUAUAACUCACAAUCAAAAUUAACACUCAUUUAUCAAAUUCAUCACCUUCAACCACAAAUUCAAUUCAUCUUCAACUACAAACUCAAUUCAAAUAUGACAAUAUUCAUAUCUUCUUCUCUUAAAGACCAAAAAAAUCGUCAAAAUUGGCCAAGCAACAUAUAACUUUUUCAGAUCUGAGUUUGCAUCACUUUCUCUCCAUUAAUAUCCAUUUUAGCCAUCAAAACAAUCGUGCGAUAAAACUUGUACCAUACAACCAACCGCCGAGAAUAUUAACGACGGCGACGGCAAAGAAAGAGGAUAUGUGUAUGGGAGUGAGAAUUGGAAUGAGAAUAAUUCGGUUUUGAAGGAAAUGGUUUUGAGGAGUUUUAAAGAUUUAUGGGUAUGAUGAUAUUAAGUGUUGUUGUUAGUGGUAGUGGUUUAGUGAUGAGAAGAUGAUGAUAAUAGUGAUGAGAUGAGAAGUUUUGAUGUUAAAUUUUAUUUUAUUUUUGGGGUUUUUGGAUUUUUUUUUUUUUAUGAAGGUUAUUUGAAGAUGAUGAAGAAGUGAGAGGAAGAAGAUGAAGAAAGAAUGAAAAAAAAUUAGAUUUUUUAUGGCAUGAUGAAGGUUGAAAGAAGAUGAAUAAAGCAAAAAAAUUAGGUGUUGGUGAUACACUGUAAAAUCUGAUAGACCUCCGUAAUCCAACGGUCUCUUUUUUUAGAGGAUUAAAAUUAUAAAAAUUGGACCAAAUUAAGUAAAAGAAAUAAGUUAAGGGACGUGUUUGAGAAAGUUAAGACUUAUGGGACUAAAUUGAAUAAAAGAAAUAAGUUAAGGGACCGGCAUAUCAAUUAAGCCUUAUUUAUCUAUAUGUAGAGAUGGUUAUUUAUUGUUUACAUGUGUAUUUAUUGAGUUGGUUGUUUGAGUGUUCCUGACCUAACAAUUAUGCGUAGAAGAAUUUUUUUUUUAGAAAAAAAAAGAGAGAGAAAAGACAUUUUAGUUUUUAUAUAAGUCUCUACAUGUUAAAUAAGUUCUUCCUUUAUAAAAAAUUGUCAAAUUUUAUUUUUUAUCACAUAAAAAAUUGACACAUUUUUUGUCCUUAAUUUUUUUUUCUUAAGGUAUUGUUUAAACAUUCAGAAGUAGUAAUUUUUACAUUAGAAAUUGUAUAAUUAUGACUUUUAGAUGUGUUUGACUUGUAUUUUCAUGAUAAAAUUUAUUUUUCUGAGUUCUUUAAACAAUGCUCUUAAGACAGUUCUUAAUAAGACCCUAAAAAGUUUCUUUAAAAUAAGGAGUUCAAAACUUGAUUUCUAGAUCAAACAAAUUAUUACUUUUCUUACCGUUUGAUGGCCAAGAUAGGGAGGUAGGAUAUGAAAUAUUUAUGAUAUCUUGCUUCAAUCUCAUGUUUUAUAUACCGAAGAGAUAGAAUAAAAUAAAUCAUUUUCAUAUCAUAUACUAACUUGUCUUUGUAAAUUUUAUCCUGAGUGUAGGUUGGGUUAUAAAUUAUCCUGACAUGAUUAAAAAUUUAUUUCUUAUUUGUUACCAUGGUAUUAUGUCAUAAUUAAAAUGUUGUCAUUUGUUACUUACUAUUUAUAAUUAAUUACGUGCCAUUUUUAAAAUAUUUAAUUAAUUACAAGAAUAAUUUUCUCAUUUAAUUAUAAUAAAAUAAUGAUAUCAUAUUUGUUAUCAUGUGCGCAUCAAACACAUGAUAUGAUUAAUGCAUAUCAUGUCCAUAUUAUAUUAUGUCUCUAUCCAGCUUUGUAUUAUAUCUUGACCAUGAAACGAACUCAAUUGUCGAAAUUUUAAAAAAUUCAAAUAUAAAUCAUCACAUGUUAAAAAGUCCUAAACUUUUUAAGAUUUUUUUAUUUUUUUUUUAAUAAUGUUUGAGCGGGGUCUUUGUCAGGGCGACCCUUUGUCGCCAUUUCUUUUUUUAUUGGCCGCCGAAGGAUUUAAUGUGCUUAUGAAGGCUAUUGGGGGUUAGGAGGGUUGAUGUUUUUAAUUUAUCUUUGUUGGGUAAGUGGUGUUGGAUGAUGUUGAUUGAUAAGGAGUGUCUGUGGUACUGCGUUUUGAAAGCCUGUUAUGGUGAGGAAGGAGGGCGGUUGAAAGAGGGUGGUAGGCAUAGUUCAGCUUGGUGGCGGUCUCUAUGUAGGUUUACAGAAGGGAUAGAUGAAGGAGUGGGGAGCUGGUUUGAAAACAACACUCGUAGGGUGGUUGGUGAUGGGAAAUGAACUUUAUUUUGGCAUGAUAUUUGGAUGGGGGAAAUUCUGUUGGAACAAAAUGUGUUUCACAAUGAACCUUAUUAAGUUUUGAUGAUAACAAGGUAUUAAAAAUUGUCAAUUGAUUAUUACUAAUAAUUGUUCAAGUGUACAGGACCAAAGGCUACUCAAGUUAUUUCAAUAGGUCUUGGAAGAACAAUGGAAAGAAAAAGAAAUUCUGAGCAUUUGAAGAAAACUGCUCCUGAAGCUGAAGUGCUUCUGAAGUGAUGACGUCAUCAGAAGCAGAAGGUCAUCAGAAGCAAAAGUUUUUAUCAGAAGCAAUAUCUUCACCAGAAGCUAUGUUUGAUCCUUUAAUCAAACUGAAGAUUCAAAGUAGCUGAUUCUCAAUUCAGUCUUAUCCAAGAAGAACGAAGAAUUGAAAGGGAGGUAUCAACGGAUAUAUGGAUAGCACUGAGCACUUGUCUCUCGUUAAUAGAGUUGACAAAGUACAAGUGUACAACCACUACCUCCACUACUCUGUUUUCUGUCUACGCUACAAGACAAAACAACAGCCAUGCCUGCAGAAUUUGUACGUUCAAGAUGGGAAUGAAUUUGAAGCUUAUUCUUCAAAGGACUACACCCAAAUCAGGCAAAGGAUUACUGGUGGAUAAUCAAAGAAUUUCAAACGACUCUUUAGACGUGCUGAUUAUCUCAACGUCUCUUUCACGCCUCUAUAUAAAGGAGUGAAGACUUGAAGAUUGUAGAAAGGGAUACAUAAGUUCAAAAGCGCCAAAACUCUGUCAAUUUGAUUCUACAAAGCACACUGAAUUUCUGCACUGAUUUGAUAUAUCUUAGAAAUUCAAAGUCUAGAGUCUUUACUGUAUUGUAUUGUGAACACCACUGAUUGUAUAUCAAGUGUUCAACUCAAACUCAAUUCUCUGUAUUUUUGUUUGAUUAGAAGUCUCUUGCCUGCGUGCUUGAGCAUUAGAAGUCUCUUGCUUAGUGCUUGAGCAUUGGAAGACUCUUGCGUGUGUGCUUGAGCAUUUUUGUGAAGUCUCAUACUUAGAAAGUAUUGAGCAGUUGUAAUCUUUGUGAUUAUAGUGAAAUCUCCUUGGAAGUGCAAGGGGGACUGGACUACUUCCGUGUUGUGGAAGGAACCAGGAUAACUGCUUGUGUCUUUGUCUUUCUUUUCUCUGCUCUGUUCUUUUCCGCUGCAAUCUGACUUUGAUCAUUUCAUCAGAAGCAAUCAAACUGCUUCUGAAGUUUUAUCAGAAGAAGUAUUUUUUUUUAAGAGAAAAAGAAAACACAAUUCAACCCCCCCCCCCCCCCCCCCUCUUGUGUUUUUCACCUUCAAUUGGUAUCAGAGCUUGCUCUGUUAUCACAGCACUUAACCGUGUUACAGUUCAAGAUCUAUUAGAAAAACAUGUCUGGAGAUGAGGAAUCAGUUACUACAAAAUACACAAGUGUCAAGCAUGACUAUGAUACUGCUGACAAGAAAACAGACUCUGGAAAAGCUCCAAAGUUUAAUGGAGAUCCAGAAGAGUUUUCAUGGUGGAAAACAAAUAUGUACAGCUUUAUCAUGGGAUUGGAUGAAGAGCUAUGGGACAUACUGGAAGAUGGAGUUGAUGAUCUGGAUUUGGAUGAAGAAGGAGCUGCUAUAGACAGAAGAAUACAUACUCCUGCUCAGAAGAAGCUUUAUAAGAAACACCACAAGAUAAGAGGAAUCAUUGUGGCUUCUAUACCUCGCACCGAAUACAUGAAGAUGAGUGACAAAUCUACUGCGAAGGCUAUGUUUGCUUCUCUAUGUGCAAACUUUGAAGGCAGCAAGAAGGUGAAAGAGGCUAAAGCUUUGAUGCUAGUUCAUCAGUAUGAACUUUUCAGAAUGAAGGAUGAUGAGAGUAUAGAAGAAAUGUACUCAAGAUUUCAAACUUUAGUUUCUGGAUUGCAAAUACUGAAGAAAAGCUAUGUUGCUUCUGAUCAUGUUAGUAAGAUUUUGAGAAGCUUACCUUCAAGAUGGAGACCCAAAGUAACUGCUAUUGAGGAAGCUAAGGAUCUAAAUACUUUAAGUGUUGAAGAUCUUGUUAGCUCACUCAAAGUGCAUGAAAUGAGUUUAAAUGAGCAUGAAACCUCUAAGAAGAGUAAAUCCAUUGCUCUACCAUCUAAAGGAAAGACUUCAAAAUCUUCCAAAGCCUACAAAGCCAGUGAAUCUGAAGAAGAAUCACCUGAUGGAGAUUUUGAUGAAGAUCAAUCUGUAAAGAUGGCUAUGCUGUCCAACAAGCUUGAGUAUCUGGCAAGGAAGCAGAAGAAAUUUCUGAGCAAGAGAGGUAGCUACAAGAACUCCAAGAAAGAAGACCAGAAGGGAUGCUUCAAUUGUAAGAAGCCUGGUCAUUUCAUUGCUGAUUGCCCUGAUCUUCAGAAGGAGAAGUUUAAAGGCAAAUCCAAGAAAUCAAGCUUCAACUCCAGUAAAUUCAGAAAGCAAAUCAAAAAGAGCUUGAUGGCGACCUGGGAAGAUUUGGAUAGUGAAUCUGGUUCUGAUAAAGAAGAAGCUGAUGAUGAUGCUAAGGCAACCAUGAGGUUAGUGGCAACAAUAUCAUCAGAAGCAGUAUCAGAAGCUGAAUCAGAUUCAGAAGAUGAAAAUGAGGUAUAUUCCAAAAUCCCUAGACAAGAACUUGUUGAUUCUCUAAAAGAACUUUUAUCACUGUUUGAACACAGAACCAAUGAGUUGACAGAUUUAAAAGAAAAAUAUGUUGAUUUGAUGAAACAACAAAAGUCAACUCUAUUGGAACUGAAAGCUUCUGAAGAAGAACUCAAAGGGUUUAACCUCAUAUCAACAACAUAUGAAGAUAGACUCAAGAUUCUUUGUCAGAAGCUACAAGAAAAAUGUGAUAAAGGUUCAGGCAAUAAACAUGAGAUUGCCCUGGAUGAUUUUAUUAUGGCUGGAAUAGACAAAAGCAAAGUUGCUUCUAUGAUCUACAUCACAUACAAGAACAAAGGCAAAGGGAUUGGAUAUUCUGAGGAGAAAUCCAAAGAAUACAGUCUCAAGAGCUACUGUGAUUGUAUCAAAGAUGGAUUGAAAUCCACCUUUGUGCCUGAAGGUACAAAUGCUGUAACUGCUGUUCAGUCAAAACCUGAAGCUUCUGGUUCACAGGCUAAGAUCACAUCAAAGCCAGAAAACCUUAAGUUCAAGGUUAUGACAAAAUCUGAUCCUAAUAGUCAAAAGAUUAAAAUUCUGAAAAGAUCAGAACCUGUUCAUCAGAAUCUGAUUAAACCAGAAUCUAAAAUCCCAAAACAAAAGGAUCAGAAGAACAAAGCAGCUACUGCUUCUGAGAAAACAAUACCAAAAGGUGUCAAACCUAAAGUAUUGAAUGAUCAGAAGCCACUCAGCAUUCACCCUAAGGUACAAGGGAGGAAAAGUAAAACCUCCAAAACUAACCCAAAAGGACCCAUGAAGAUAUGGGUACCUAAAUCUGAAUUGGCUAAAAAUGCAGGUGUGCCUAAGGGCAAGAGAGAAACAAAGGUCAUGGUACCUAGACAGCGGAUGUUCAAGGCACAUGACUGGAGAGAAAGCUUUGUUCCUUACCCUUACAAUGAAAGAUGGAGGAGAAGUGAAGUUUGGUGGCAACCAAACUGGAAAGAUCAUUGGUACAGGUACUAUUGAUAAUUCCUCCAUCUCAAUUAAUAAUGUGUGGCUAGUAGAUGGUCUGAAGCAUAACCUAUUGAGCAUUAGUCAAUUUUGUGACAAUGGGUAUGAUGUAAUGUUCAGUAAGACCAACUGCACACUAGUCAACAAGGAUGACAAAUCCAUUACAUUCAAGGGAAAAAGAGUUGAGAAUGUCUAUAAAAUAAAUUUCUCUGAUCUGGCUGAUCAGAAGGUAGUUUGCCUUCUGUCAAUGAAUGAUAAAAAAUGGGUAUGGCAUAAAAGGUUGGGACAUGCUAAUUGGAGAUUAAUUUCUAAAAUUAGCAAGUUACAACUGGUCAAAGGAUUGCCUAACAUUGAUUAUCAUUCAGAUGCACUUUGUGGUGCAUGUCAGAAAGGGAAAAUUGUGAAAAGUUCUUUCAAAUCUAAAGACAUUGUAUCAACCUCCAGACCCUUAGAAUUACUCCAUAUUGAUCUUUUUGGUCCAGUUAACACUGCAUCUUUAUAUGGAAGUAAAUAUGGAUUAGUCAUUGUUGAUGAUUACAGCAGAUGGACUUGGGUAAAAUUCAUUAAAAGUAAAGACUAUGCAUGUGAAGUGUUUAGCAGCUUCUGCACUCAAAUACAAUCUGAAAAAGAAUUGAAAAUUUUGAAAGUCAGAAGUGAUCAUGGUGGAGAAUUUGAAAAUGAGCCAUUUGAACUUUUUUGUGAAAAAUAUGGGAUUCUCCAUGAAUUUUCUUCUCCUAGAACUCCACAACAAAAUGGGGUUGUAGAGAGAAAGAACAGAACUUUACAAGAAAUGGCCAGAACCAUGAUCCAUGAAAACAACUUAACUAAACAUUUCUGGGCAGAAGCAGUUAAUACUUCAUGUUAUAUUCAAAAUAGGAUCUAUAUCAGACCUAUGUUGGAGAAAACAACAUAUGAACUCUUUAAAGGAAGAAGACUCAAUAUCUCUUACUUUCAUCAGUUUGGAUGUACUUGUUACAUCUUAAACACUAAAGACUAUCUGAAGAAAUUUGAUGCCAAGGCUCAAAGAGGAAUCUUUUUAGGUUACUCUGAAAGGUCAAAGGCGUACAGAGUGUAUAAUUCAUAAACACAUUGUGUUGAAGAAUCUAUGCACGUAAAAUUUAAUGAUAGAGAGCCUGGAAGUAAAACUCCAUAGCAAAGUGAAAGUAAUGCAGGUACAACUGAUUCUGAAGAUGCAUCAGAAUCUGAUCAACCUUCUGAUUCUGAAAAGUAUUCAGAAGUUGAAUCUAGUCCAGAAGCUGAAAUCACUCCAGAAGUUGAGUCUAAUUCAGAAGCAGAACCUAGUCCAAUAGUACAGAAUGAAAGUGCUUCUGAGGAUUUUCAAGACAACACUCAGCAGGUUAUUCAACCUAAAUUCAAGCACAAAUCUUCACAUCCUGAGGAGCUAAUCAUUGGAAGCAAAGAUAGUCCUAGAAGAACAAGAUCACAUUUCAGACAAGAAGAGUCAUUAAUAGGAUUGCUUUCAAUAAUUGAGCCUAAAACUGUUGAAGAAGCUCUCUCAGAUGAUGGAUGGAUAUUAGCUAUGCAAGAAGAGCUAAAUCAAUUCCAAAGGAAUGAUGUGUGGGAUCUGGUACCCAAACCUUUUCAGAAGAACAUUAUUGGAACAAAAUGGGUAUUCAGAAACAAGCUGAAUGAACAAGGAGAAGUAACCAGAAACAAAGCCAGACUUGUUGCUCAAGGCUACAGUCAACAAGAAGGCAUUGAUUACACUGAAACAUUUGUUCCAGUUGCAAGAUUGGAAGCAAUCAGGUUACUUCUAUCCUACGCAAUUAAUCAUGGCAUAAUAUUAUAUCAAAUGGAUGUCAAAAGUGCAUUUCUUAAUGGUGUCAUUGAAGAAGAAGUGUAUGUUAAACAACCUCCUGGGUUUGAGGAUCUUAAGCAUCCUGACCAUGUUUAUAAACUUAAGAAAUCACUAUAUGGCUUGAAACAAGCUCCCAGAGCUUGGUAUGAUAGACUAAGUAAUUUCUUAAUUAAAAAUGAUUUUGAAAGAGGACAAGUUGACACAACACUCUUCAGAAGGACUCUUAAGAAAGACGUUUUGAUUGUACAAAUAUAUGUUGAUGAUAUAAUAUUUGGUUCUACUAAUGCAUCUCUUUGCAAAGAAUUUUCUAAGUUAAUGCAGGAUGAAUUUGAAAUGAGUAUGAUGGGAGAAUUGAAGUUCUUUCUUGGAAUUCAAAUCAACCAAAGUAAAGAAGGAGUAUAUGUUCAUCAAACAAAAUAUACAAAGGAGCUUCUGAAGAAGUUCAAGCUAGAAGAUUGUAAAGUGAUGAACACUCCAAUGCAUCCAACCUGCACCUUAAGCAAAGAAGAUACUGGAACAGUAGUAGACCAGAAGCUAUACAGAGGUAUGAUUGGUUCUCUGUUAUACCUCACUGCAUCUAGACCUGAUAUUUUAUUCAGUGUAUGCUUGUGUGCAAGAUUUCAAUCAGAUCCUAGAGAAUCUCAUUUAACUGCAGUUAAGAGAAUCUUCAGGUAUCUGAAAGGAACAACUAAUCUUGGACUCCUGUAUAGGAAAUCCCUAGAUUAUAAGUUGAUUGGAUUCUGUGAUGCUGAUUAUGCUGGUGACAGGAUUGAAAGAAAAUCAACCAGUGGAAAUUGUCAAUUCCUGGGAGAGAAUCUGAUAUCCUGGGCAAGCAAAAGACAAGCAACUAUUGCUAUGUCUACAGCAGAAGCAGAAUACAUUUCAGCUGCAAGUUGUUGCACACAACUACUGUGGAUGAAACAUCAGUUGGAAGACUAUCAGAUUAAUGCUAACAGUAUUCCCAUCUAUUGUGAUAAUACUGCUGCUAUUUGUUUGUCAAAGAAUCCAAUUCUACAUUCAAGAGCGAAGCAUAUUGAAAUCAAACACCAUUUUAUCAGAGACUAUGUUCAAAAAGGGAUUUUAGAUAUACAAUUCAUUGAUACUGAACAUCAAUGGGCUGAUAUAUUUACAAAACCUUUAUCUGUUGAAAGAUUUGAUUUUAUUAAGAAAAAUUUGAACAUGCAUUUUGUGUCUGAUUGAAAAAUUGCUUGCCUCUGAAUAAAAAGUUUGGUUCUGAAGUCUAUUCAGAAGCAUCUGGUCCAUCAGAAGCUCUUAACUGAGGUUCUGAGGAAAAUGUGCUUCUGAAGAUGACGUCAGCGCUAAGACUUCAGAAGCGGUAUUCUUUGCUUCUGAAUAGCAAGGUUAGUGGGAACGUUGGCAGUUACUUUUUGUAACAGCUGUCCCAUUACCCAAAAGGUAGUUUUCUGAAGAGUCUCUGACGUGGUCUAUUUGUAUUGGAGUAUAACAAAAAGGGCAAUGAUGUUUUAUUUGCUUUUUAACAUACUAACACGCGCCCCCAAUUUGUCAUUAAUGCUAUGUUUGUUUGUCUCUUCUGAAUUACAAACGUUUUACUUAAAAACACUAAGUCAAUUCACACACUACUCACUUCACAACAAACACUUUCUAUUUUCUUCUCAACCCUCUGCGAAAGUAAGCGCAUUCACUCUCCCUCUCAAAACACCAUAGAACCCUAAAACUCCUUCAACUCAAUGGAAAGCUCAAGUUCUGCUGGUGGUUCAUCAUCAAAUAUGGAAAUAGAUAUUCCGACUUAUGAGAUUAAAGGAAGAACCAUGUCUAUUGAAGAAUGGGAGUUAAUCAUUCAAGUAGAAAAUCCAGUGGAUUUCGCCUCCUUAACUCACCAUGGAUGCGACCUAGUAAGGUUCUACAAGAAGCAAAAGCUGAUGAAUUACUUCAGUCUUCUCAAUGGUCCAACAUAUGAAGUUCUGGUCAGACAAUUCUGGGUAAGGGCUUCAGUCUUUGACAUUGAUGCUGCUAGACAGGAAAAAGCUCAACUGAUUCUGGUUGAUCCUACUCUGAAGGGAAAAACCAGAGAAGAAAUGGGUCUACUCUCCUUCACCGGCACAGAGAUUAGAUCAAAUGUCAUGGGAAUUCCUGUAACCAUAAAUGAGCAGGUUAUUGCUCAAGCCAUGGGAAGGGAUACCUCUGGCAAAUACUUUGGAGAAGAGAUUCCUAAUCCAAGAACCAGCUCUUGGAAGGAAAUUUUCAAUGAGACCAUUUAUGGGUCUAAGGUUGCUCAACCUUACAGCACUUUGAGCAUUGAGAAGAAGUUGUUGCUGAAGAUUCAGAAUGAGAACAUCUUUUCCAAAGGUGGAGGAAG
rnacentral:lncRNA from 1 species